UGGAAUGCUACCUAGCAUAAUCUUGAUCACAUAUCUAAUCAUGGCAUGAAUAUUAAGACACGAGUGAUUCAAAGCAAUAGUCUAUCAUUUGACAUAAAAACAAUAAUACUUCAAGCCUACUAAUAAAGCAAUCAUGUCUUUUCAAAUAACUAGGCCAAAGAAAGUUAUCCCUACAAAAUCAUAUAGUCUGGCUAAAGAAAGUUAUCCCUACAAAAUCAUAUAGUCUGGCUAUGCUCCAUCUUCACCACACAAAAUACUCACAUCAUGCACAACCCCGAUGACAAGCCAAGCAAUUGUUUCAUACUUUUGAUGUUCUCAAACCUUUUCAACUUUCACGCAAUACAUGAGCGUGAGCCAUGGACAUAGCACUAUAGGUGGAAUAGAAUGGUGGUUGUGGAGAAGACAAAAAGGAGAAGAUAGUCUCACAUCAACUAGGCGUAUCAAUGGGCUAUGGAGAUGCCCAUCAAUAGAUAUCAAUGUGAGUGAGUAGGGAUUGCCAUGCAACAGAUGCACUAGAGCUAUAAGUAUAUGAAAGCUCUAACUGAAACUAAGUGGGUGUGCAUCCAACUUGCUUGCUCAUGAAGACUUAGGGCAUUUGAGGAAGCCCAUCGUUGGAAUAUGCAAGCCAAGUUCUAUAAUGAAAAUUCCCACUAGUAUAUGAAAGUGAUAACUCAAGAGACUCUCUAUAUGAAGAACGUGGUGCUACUUUGAAGCACAAGUGUGGUAAAAGGAUAGUAACAUUGACCCUUCUCUCGUUUUCUCUCAUUUUUUUGUAGGCUUCUUUGGCCUCUCUCUCUCUCUCUCUCUCUCUCUCUCUUUUUGGGCUUCUUUGGCCACUUUUAUUUUGAUAACCUCACAUGGGACAAUGCUCUAAUAAUGAUGAUCAUCACACUUUUAUUUACAUACAACUCGAUAUCUAAAACAAAGAUAUGACUCUAUAUGAAUGCCUCCGACGGUGUACCGGGAUGUGCAAUGAUCUAGCAUAGCAAUGUCAUCAAAAAAUGGACAAGCCAUGAAAACAUCAUGCUAGCUAUCUUACGAUCAUGCAAAGCAAUAUGACAAUGAAUGCUCAAGUCAUGUAUAUGAUGAUGAGGAAAGUUGCAUGGCAAUAUAUCUCGGAAUGGCUAUGGAAAUGCCAUGAUAGGUAAGUAUGGUGGCUGUUUUGAGGAAGGUAUCACUACUAGGAAAAAGCCUAGUAGUAGUGUGGGUUAAAAGCUAGUAGUAGCACGGGUGCCUGCGCUACUACUACGACGCUACAGCUAACUAGUAGUAGUAGCGCGGUGCAUCCCGCGCUACUAGUACGUGUGUUAGUAGUAGCGCGUGUCUGUGACCCGCGCUACUGAAGGAAAUAUGCCCUAGAGGCAAUAAUAAAGUUAUUACUUAUUUCCUUAUUUCAUGAUAAAUGUUUAUUAUUCAUGCUAGAAUUGUAUUAACCGGAAACAUAAUACAUGUGUGAAUACAUAGACAAACAGAGUGUCACUAGUAUGCCUCUACUUGACUAGCUCGUUGAUCAAAGAUGAUUAAGUUUCCUAACCAUAGACAUGAGUUGUCAUUUGAUUAACGGGAUCACAUCAUUAGGAGAAUGAUGUGAUUGACUUGACCCAUUCCGUUAGCUUAGCACUUGAUCAUUUAGUUUGUUGCUAUUGCUUUCUUCAUGACUUAUACAUGUUCCUAUGACUAUGAGAUUAUGCAACUCCCGUUUAUCGGAGGAACACUUUGUGUGCUACCAAAUGCCAUAACAUAACUGGGUGAUUAUAAAGGUGCUCUACAGGUGUCUCCAAAGGUACAUGUUGGGUUGGCAUAUUUUGAGAUUAGGAUUUGUCGCUCCGAUUGUCGGAGAGGUAUCUUCGGGCCCUCUCGGUAAUGCACAUCACUUAAGCCUUGCAAGCAAUGCAACUAAUGAGUUAGUUGCGAGGUGAUGUAUUACGGAACGAGUAAAGAGACUUGCCGGUAACGAGAUUGAACUAGGUAUUGAGAUACCGACGAUCGAAUCUCGGGCAAGUAACAUACCGAUGACAAAGGGAACAACGUAUGUUGUUAUGCGGUCUGACCGAUAAAGAUCUUCGUAGAAUAUGUAGGAGCCAAUAUGAGCAUCCAGGUUCCGCUAUUGGUUAUUGACCGGAGACGUGUCUCGGUCAUGUCUACAUUGUUCUCGAACCCGUAGGGUCCGCACGCUUAACGUUAUGAUGACAGUUUCAUUAUGAGUUUAUAUAUUUUGAUGUACUGAAGGUUGUUCGGAGUCCCGGAUGUGAUCACGGACAUGACAAGGAGUCUCGAAAUGGUCGAGACAUAAAGAUCGAUAUAUUGGACGGCUAUAUUCGGACACCGGAAGUGUUUCGGGUGAUUUCGGAGAGAACCGGAGUGCCGGAAGGGUUACCGAAACCCCCCGGGGAAGUAUUGGGCCUUAGUGGGCCUGAGGGGAGAGAGAGGGAAGCAGCCCAGGAGGUGGCGCGCCCCCUCCCAUGAGGAGUCCGAAUUGGACUAGGGGAAGGGGCGCGGCCCCUCUUUCCCUCUCCCUCUCCCUCUCUUUCCUUCCCCCUUCUCUCUUCCUAGUUGGACUAGGAAAGGGGAGUCCUACUCCUACUAGGAGGAGGACUCCCCCCCUCCUUGGUGCGCCCCAAGGGCCGGCUGGCCUCCCCCUUGCUCCUUUAUAUACGGGGGCAGGGGGGCACCUCUAGACACACAAGUUGAUCUUCGUGAUCGUUCUCUUAGCCGUGUGCGGUGCCCCCCUCCACCAUAAUCCUCGAUUAUAUUGUAGCGGUGCUUAGGUGAAGCCCUGCGACAGUAGAACAUCAAGAUCGUCACCACGCCGUCGUGCUGACGGAACUCUUCCCCAACACUUUGCUGGAUCGGAGUCCGGGGAUCGUCAUCGAGCUGAACAUGUGCUAGAACUCGGAGGUGCCGUAGUUUUGGUGCUUGAUCGGUCGAGCCAUGAAGACGUACGACUACAUCAACCACGUUGUCAUAACGCUUCCGCUUUCGGUCUACGAGGGUACAUGGACAAUACUCUCCCCUCUCGUUGCUUUGCAUCACCAUGAUCUUGCGUGUGCAUAGGAAUUUUUUUGAAAUUACUACGUUCCCCAACAGUGGCAUCCGAGCCUAGGUUUUAUGCAUUGAUGUUAUAUGCACGAGUAGAACACAAGUGAGUUGUGGGCGAUAUAAGUCAUACUGCUUACCAACAUGUCAUACUUUGGUUCGGCGGUAUUGUUGGAUGAAGCGGCCCGGACCGACAUUACGCUUACGCUUACGCGAGACUGGUUCUACCGACGUGCUUUGCACACAGGUGGCUGGCGGGUGUCAGUUUCUCCAACUUUAGUUGAACCAAGUGUGGCUACACCCGGUCGUUGCGAAGGUUAAAACAACACCAACUUGACAAACUAUCGUUGUGGUUUUGAUGCGUAGGUAAGAUUGGUUCUUGCUUAAGCCCGUAGCAGCCACGUAAAACUUGCAACAAACAAAGUAGAGGACGUCUAACUUGUUUUUGCAGGGCAUGUUGUGAUGUGAUAUGGUCAAGACAUGAUGCUAAAUUUUAUUGUAUGAGAUGAUCAUGUUUUGUAACCGAGUUAUCGGCAACUGGCAGGAGCCAUAUGAUUGUCGCUUUAUUGUAUGCAAUGCAAUCGCCCUGUAAUGCUUUAUUUUAUCACUAAGCGGUAGUGAUAGUCGUAGAAGCAUAAGUUUGGCGAGACGACAACGAUGCUACGAUGGAGAUCAAGGUGUUGCGUCGGCGACAAUGGUGAUCAUGAUGAUGCUUCGGAGAUGGAGAUCACAAGCACAAGACGAUGAUGGCCAUAUCAUAUCACUUAUAUUGAUUGCAUGUGAUGUUUAUCUUUUAUGCAUCUUAUCUUGCUUUGAUUGACGGUAGCAUUAUAAGAUGAUCUCUCACUAAAUUUCAAGAUAAAAGUGUUCUCCCUGAGUAUGCACCGUUGCCAAAGUUCGUCGUGCCCAGACACCACGUGAUGGUUGGGUGUGAUAAGCUCUACGUCCAUCUACGACGGGUGCAAGCCAGUUUUGCACACGCAGAAUAGUCAGGUUAAACUUGACGAGCCUAGCAUAUGCAGAUAUGGCCUCGGAACACUGAGACCGAAAGGUCGAGCAUGAAUCAUAUAGUAGAUAUGAUCAACAUAGUGAUGUUCACCAUUGAAAACUACUCCAUUUCACGUGAUGAUCGGUUAUGGUUUAGUUGAUUUGAAUCACGUGAUCACUUAGAUGAUUAGAGGGAUGUCUAUCUAAGUGGGAGUUCUUAAGUAAUAUGAUUAAUUGAACUUUAAUUUAUCAUGAAACUUAGUCCUGGUAGUAUUAGCAUAUCUAUGUUGUAGAUCAAUAGCUCGCGUUUAGCUCCCCUGUUUUAUUUUGACAUGUUCCUAGAGAAAACUAAGUUGAAAAAAUGUUAGUAGCAAUGAUGCGGAUUGGAUCCGUGAUCUGAGGUUUAUCCUCAUUGCUGCAUAGAAGAAUUAUGUCCUUGAUGCACCGCUAGGUGACAGACCUAUUGCAGGAGCAGAUGCAGACGUUAUGAACGUUUGGAUAGCUCAAUAUGAUGACUACUUGAUAGUUUAGUGCACCAUGCUUAACGGCUUAGAAUCGGGACUUCAAAGACGUUUUGAAUGUCAUGGACCAUAUGAGAUGUUCCAGGAGUUGAAGUUAAUAUUUCAAGCAAAUACCCGAGUUGAGAGAUAUGAAGUCUCCAACAAGUUCUAUAGCUAAAAGAUGGAGGAGAAUCGCUCAACUAGUGAGCAUGUGCUCAGAUUGUCUGGGUACUACAAUCGCUUGAAUCAAGUGUGAGUUAAUCUUCCAGAUAAAAUAGUGAUUGACAGAAUUCUCUAGUCACCAUCACCAAGUUAGUAGAACUUCGUGAUGAACUAUGAUAUGCAAGGGAUAACGAAAACGAUUCCCAAGCUCUUCGUAAUGCUGAAAUUGACGAAGGUAGAAAUCGAGAAAAACAUCAAGUGUUGAUGGUAGACAAGACCACUAGUUUCAAGAAAAGGGCAAAGGGAAAAAGGGGAACUUCAAGAAGAACAGCAAGCAAGUUGCUGCUCAAGUGAAGAAGCCCAAGUCUGGUCCUAAGCCUGAGACUAAGUGCUUCUACUGUAAAGGGACUGGUCACUGGAAGCGGAACUACCCCAAGUGAUUGGCAGAUAAGAAGGAUGGCAAAGUGAACAUAAGUAUAUUUGAUAUACAUGUUAUUGAUGUGUACUUUACUAGUGUUUAUAGCAACCCCUCAAUAUUUGAUACUAGUUCAGUUGCUAAGAGUACUAACUCGAAACGAGAGUUGCAGAAUGAACAGAGACUAGUUAAGGGUGAAGUGACGAUGUGUGUUGGAAGUAGUUCCAAGAUUGAUAUGAUCAUCAUCGCACACUCCCUAUACUUCGGGAUUAGUGUUGAACCUAAAUAAGUGUUAUUUGGUGUCUGCGUUGAGCAUGAAUAUGAUUUGAUCAUGUUUAUUGCAAUACGGUUAUUCAUUUAAGUAAGAGAAUAAAUUGUUGUUCUGUUUACAUGAAUAAAACCUUAUAUGGUUACACACCCAAUGAAAAUGGUUCGUUGGAUCUCGAUCGUAGUGAUACACAUAUUCAUAAUAUUAAAACCAAAAGAUGCAAAGUUAAUAAUGAUAGUGCAACUUAUUUGUGGCACUGCCAUUUAGGUCAUAUUGCUGUAAAGCGCAUGAAGAAACUCCAUGCUGAUGGGCUUUUGGAAUCACUUGAUUAUGAAUCACUUGAUGCUUGCGAACCACGCCUCUUGGGCAAGAUGACUAAGACUCCGUUCUCCGGAACAAUGGAGCGAGCAACUGACUUAUUGGAAAUAAUACAUACGGAUGUAUGUGAUCCGAUGAGUGUUGAGGCUCGUGGCGGGUAUCAUUAUUUUCUGAUAUUCACAGAUGAUUUGAGCAGAUAUGAGUAUAUCUACUUAAUGAAACACAAGUCUAAAACAUUUGAAAAGUUCAAAGAAUUUCAGAGUGAAGUGGAGAAUCAUCGUAACAAAAAUAAAAGUUUCUACGAUAUGAUCGCAGAAGUAAAAUAUUUGAGUUACGAGUUUGGCCUUCAGUUAAAACAAUGUGAAAUAGUUUCACUACUCAUGCCAGCUGGAACACCACAAUGUAAUGGUGUGUCCGAACGUCAUAACCGUACUUUAUUAGAUAUGGUGCGAUCUAUGAUAUCUCUUACCAAUCUACCACUAUCGUUUUGGGGUUAUGCAUUAGAGACAGCUGCAUUCACGUUAAAUAGGGCACCAUCUAAAUCCGUUGAGACGACACCGUAUGGACUAUGGUUUGGCAAGAAACCUAAGCUGUCGUUUCUUAAAGUUUGGGGCUGCGAUGCUUAUAUGAAAAUGUUUCAUCCUGAUAAGCUCAAACCCAAAUCGGAGAAAUGUGUCUUCAUAGGAUACCCAAAGGAGACUGUUGGGUACACCUUCUAUCACAGAUCCGAAGGCAAGACUUUUGUUUCUAAAUUCGGAGUCUUUCUAGAGAAGGAGUUUCUCUCGAAAGAAGUGAGUGGGAGGAAAGUAGAACUUGAUGAGGUAACUGUACCUGCUCCCUUAUUGAAAGUAGUUCAUCACAGAAAUCUGUUCCUGUGACUACUACACCAAUUAGUGAGGAAGCUAAUGAUGAAGAUCAUGUAACUUCAGAUCAAGUUACUACCGAAACCUCGUAGGUAAACCAGAGUGAGAUCCGCACCAGAGUGGUACGGUAAUCUUGUUCUGAUGGUCAUGUUACUUGACCAUGACGAACCUACGAACUAUGAGGAAGCGAUGAUGAGCCCGGAUUCCGCGAAAUGGUUUGAGGCCAUGAAAUCUGAGAUAGGAUCCAUGUAUGAUAACAAAGUAUGGACUUUGGUUGACUUGCCGGAUGAUCGGCAAGCCAUUGAAAUUAAAUGGAUCUUCAAGAGGAAGACGGACGCUGAUAGUAGUGUUACUAUCUACAAAGCUAGACUUGUCGAAAAAGGUUUUUGACAAAGUUCAAGGAAUUGACUACAGUGAGACCUUCUCACUCGUAGCGAUGCUUAAGUCUGUCCAAAUCAUGUUAGCAAAUUGCCACAUUUUAUGAAAUCUGGCAAAUGGAUAACAAAACUACAAUCCUUAAUGGAUUUCUUAAAGAAGAGUUGUAUAUGAUGCAACCAGAAGUUUUUGUCAAUCCUAAAGGUGUUAACAAAAUGUGCAAACUCCAGCGAUCCAUCUAUGGACUGGUGCAAGCAUCUCGGAGUUGGAAUAUACGCUUUGAUGAAUUGAUCAAAGCAUAUAGUUUUAUACAGACUUGCGGUGAAGCCUGUAUUUACAAGAAAGUGAGUGGGAGUACUAUAGCAUUUCUGAUAAGUAUAUGUGAAUGACAUAUUGUUGAUAGGAAAUAAUGUAGAAUUAUUCUGCAAAGCAUAAAGGAGUGUUUGAAAGAAGUUUUUCAAACAAAGACCUCGGAGAAGCUGCUUACAUAUUGAGCAUCAAGAUCUAUAGAGAUAGAUCAAGACGCUUGAUAAGUUUUUUCAAUGAGUACAUACCUUGACAAGAUUUUGAAAUAGUUCAAAAUGGAACAGUCAAAGAAAGAGUUCUUGCCUGUGUUACAAGGUGUGAAAUUGAGUAAGACUCAAAGCCCGACCACGGCAGAAGAUAGAAAGAGAAUGAAAUUCAUUCCCUAUGCCUCAGCCAUAGGUUCUAUAAAGUAUGCCAUGCUGUGUACCAGACCUAUUGUAUACCCUGCCCUGAGUUUGGCAAGGGAGUGCAAUAGUGAUCUAGGAGUAGAUCACUGGACAUUGGUCAAAAUUAUCCUUACUGGAGUAAGGAUAUGUUUCUCGAUUAUGGAGGUGACAAAAGGUUCGUCGUAAAGGGUUACGACGAUGCAAGUUUUGACACUGAUCCAGAUGACUCUAAGUCUCAAUCUGGAUACAUAUUGAAAGUGGGAGAAAUUAGCUAGAGUAGCUCCAUGCAGAGCAUUGUUGACAUAGAAAUUUGCAAAAUACAUACGGAUCUGAAUGUUGCAGACCCGUUGACUAAACUUCUCUCACAAGCAAAACAUGAUCACACCUUAGUACUCUUUGGGUGUUAAUCACAUAGUGAUGUGAACUAGAUUAUUGACUCUAGUAAACCCUUUGGGUGUUGGUCACAUGACGAUGUGAACUAUGGGUGUUAAUCACAUGGUGAUGUGAACUAUUGAUGUUAAAUCACAUGGCGAUGUGAUCUAGAUUAUUGACUCUAGUGCAAGUGGGAGACUGAAGGAAAUAUGCCCUAGAGGCAAUAAUAAAGCUAUUAUUUAUUUCCUUAUUUCAUGAUAAAUGUUUAUUAUUCAUGCUAGAAUUGUAUUAACCGGAAACAUAAUACAUGUGUGAAUACAUAGACAAACAGAGUGUCACUAGUAUGCCUCUACUUGACUAGCUCGUUGAUCAAAGAUGAUUAAGUUUCCUAACCAUAGACAUGAGUUGUCAUUUGAUUAAUGGGAUCACAUCAUUAGGAGAAUGAUGUGAUUGACUUGACCCAUUCCGUUAGCUUAGCACUUGAUCGUUUAGUUUGUUGCUAUUGCUUUCUUCAUGACUUAUACAUGUUCGUAUGACUAUGAGAUUAUGCAACUCCCGUUUACCGGAGGAACACUUUGUGUGCUACCAAAUGCCAUAACGUAACUGGGUGAUUAUAAAGGUGCUCUACAGGUGUCUCCAAAGGUACAUGUUGGGUUGGCGUAUUUCGAGAUUAGGAUUUGUCGCUCCGAUUGUCGGAGAGGUAUCUCUGGGCCCUCUCGGUAAUGCACAUCACUUAAGCCUUGCAAGCAAUGCAACUAAUGAGUUAGUUGCGAGAUGAUGUAUUACGAAACGAGUAAAGAGACUUGCCUGUAACGAGAUUGAACUAGGUAUUGAGAUACCGACGAUCGAAUCUCGGGCAAGUAACAUACUGAUGACAAAGGGAACAACGUAUGUUGUUAUGCGGUCUGACCGAUAAAGAUCUUCGUAGAAUAUGUAGGAGCCAAUAUGAGCAUCCAAGUUCCGCUAUUGGUUAUUGACCAGAGACGUGUCUCGGUCAUGUCUACAUUGUUCUCGAACCCGUAGGGUCCGCACGCUUAACGUUACAAUGACAGUUUCAUUAUGAGUUUAUAUAUUUUGAUGUACCGAAGGUUGUUCGGAGUCCCGGAUGUGAUCACGAACAUGACGGGGAGUCUCAAAAUGGUCGAGACAUAAAGAUCGAUAUAUUGGACGGCUAUAUUCGGACACCGGAAGUGUUUCGGGUGAUUUCGGAGAAAACCGGAGUGCCGGAAGGGUUACCGGAACCCCCCGGGGAAGUAUUGGGCCUUAGUGGGCCUGAGAGGAGAGAGAGGGCAGCAGCCCAGGAGGUGGCGCGCCCCCUCCCAUGAGGAGUCCGAAUUGGACUAGGGGAGGGGGCGCGGCCCCUCUUUCCCUCUCCCUCUCCCUCUCUUUCCUUCCCCCUUCUCUCUUCCUAGUUGAACUAGGAAAGGGGAGUCCUACUCCUACUAGGAGGAGGACUCCCCCCUCCUUGGCGCGCCCCAAGGGCUGGCCGGCCUCCCCCUUGCUCCUUUAUAUACGGGGGCAGGGGGCACCUCUAGACACACAAGUUGAUCUUCGUGAUCGUUCUCUUAGCCGUGUGCGGUGCCCCCCUCCACCAUAAUCCUCGAUAAUGUUGUAGCGGUGCUUAGGCGAAGCCCUGUGACAGUAGAACAUCAAGAUCGUCACCACGCCGUCGUGCUGACGGAACUCUUCCCCGACACUUUGCUGGAUCGGAGUCCGGGGAUCGUCAUCGAGCUGAACGUGUGCUAGAACUCAGAGGUGUCGUAGUUUCGGUGCUUGAUCGGUCGGGCCGUGAAGACGUACGACUACAUCAACCGCGUUGUCAUAACGCUUCCGCUUUCGGUCUACGAGGGUACGUGGACAAUACUCUCCCCUCUCGUUGCUAUGCAUCACCAUGAUCUUGCGUGUGCGUAGGAAAUUUUUUGAAAUUACUACGUUCCCCAACAGCUACUACUAUUAAUUUGAAAAACCAAAAAAAAUCUCGACCCCAUGGCACGCGCACGUUGGCCGGGAGCAGGGAGAUCUCGACCAUGACGCGUGCCUCCUGGAAGCCGUCGAGGGCGGCCGCAGAGGCCAACCCGGCGUGGGCCGGGAGCUGGAGGACCUGCAUCUUGGCAUCGUGCGUGGGGAGCAGCUCCUCGCGGCGGCCAUCGCCGUUGAGGUCGGCAUGAGCGGCGGCAGGAGAAGGUCCACGUCACCCGGAACGAGAAGUCGCCCUCGUGCUGCCGGAGGAGGAGGGGGAUGGGUCAGCUAGCAUUCCGGAUCGAAUCGGAGAGGGGGGAGGAGGAGGGAUGACCUGGAGCAAGAAGAAGACGGUGAAGGCGGCGCGGAGGAGGAUGUCGUGGUCGCGCUUCCGCAUCUUGGCGGCGGCAAGGAGCUCCGGCGACCGCCCACCGGAGGGAUCUCGGAGAGGGAGGGGGCGAAGAAAGUAGAGUGUACCAGUGGCGGCCACCGCUAGAGUAUGAGGGAGAGACGAGCAAAGUGAGAGAGGGGGAAAGUGAGGGAGAGAGGAUAGAUUCGGGUGAGGAUACGGGGAUUUCACCUACCUCGUACUUAGUAGUAGCGAGGGGUGCAAAACCGCGCUACUACUAUCAACUUAGUAGUAGUGAGGGUUAAAAACCAGCGCUACUAGUAUCAACUUAGUAGUAGCGAGGGUUAAAAACCAGCGCUACUAGUAAGUAGCAGUAGCGAGGGUUAUAAACCCUCGCUACUAGUAAGUGUUUGCCUAUAAGCUUUUCCCUAGUAGUGUAUAUGGUGGGUUUAUGGUACCGGCGAAAGUUGCGCGGUACUAGAGAGGCUAGCAAUGAUGGAAGGGUGAGAGUGCGUAUAAUCCAUGGACUCAACAUUAGUCAUAAAGAACUCACAUACUUAUUGCAAAAAUCUAUUAGUCGUCGAAACAAAGUACUACACGCAUGCUCCUAGGGGGGAUAGAUUGGUAGGAAAUGACCAUCGCUCGUCCCCGACCGCCACUCAUAAGGCAGACAAUCAAUAAAUACAUCAUGCUCCAACUUCGUUACAUAACGGUUCACCAUACGUGCAUGCUACGGGAAUCACAAACCUCAACACAAGUAUUUCUACAAUUCAUAACCACCAACUAGCAUGACUCUAAUAUCACCAUCUUUAUAUCGUAAAACUAUUGCAAGGAAUCAAACAUAUCAUAUUCAGUGAUCUACAAGUUUUAUGUAGGAUUUUAUGACUAUCCAUGUGAAUGACCAGUUUCUGUCAUCUCUCUAAAUGGAUAUAAGUGAAGCAAGAGAGUUUAAUUCUUUCUACAAAAGAUAUGUCCAUGCUCUAACAAAUCUAAGUGAAGCAAAAGAGCAUUCUACAAAUGGCGGUUGUCUAUGUAAAUAGAAACAGGCAAUCCAAGCUUCAAAUGAUAUAAGUGAAGCACAUGAAGCAUUCUAUAAAGCCAUACUCAAAAGAUAUAAGUGAAGUGCAAUGAGAAUUCUAUAAAUCAACCAAUCACUACCUCAUACCAGCAUGGUGGAUAAAAGAAAAAUGAAAACUAAAUGCAAAAGACACUCCAAGAUUGCACAUAUCGCAUGAACGAAAUGAAUCCGAAAACAUACCGAUACUUAUUGAAGAAAGAGGGGAUGCCUUCCCAGCAUCCCCAAGCUUAGACACUUGAGUUUCCUUGAAUAUUUACUUGGGGUGCCUCGGGCAUCCCCAAGCUUGAGCUCUUGCCUCUCUUCCUUCUUCUUACAUCGAGACCUUCUCGAUCAUCGAACACUUCAUCCACACAAAACUUCAACAGAAAACUCGAUAAGAUCCAUUAGUAUAAUAAAGCAAAUCACUACUCUAAGUACUGUUGCAAACCAAUUCAUAUGUUGUUUUUGCAUUGUAUCUACUGUAAUAUAACUUUUUCAUGGCUUAAUCCACUAAUAUAAAUCAAUAGUUUCAUCAAAACAAGCAAACUAUGCAUCAAAAAUAGAAUAUGUCUAAAACAGAACAGUCUGUAAUAAUCUGAACAUUCACCAUACUUCUGAUACUUGAAAAAUUCUACCAAAAUUAUGAAAAAUAAAAAUUUGUAUAGGAAGACAGUGCAAAAAGAAUUAGAACCAUUUGACGUUCCAGAUAAAAAUGUAAAAUCGCGCACUACAGCCAAAGUUUCUGUCCUGCACCAAACCAUCAAGCAAAUGUAAACAUCCUAAAGGCAAACCUUGGCACAUUAUUUUUAUAAUACAAUGGAAUUAUACAAGGGGAUAAAUAUUUUUGUUGAAAAAUUUCUGUAAUCAAGAUUCACAAAGUUUCAGUGAGCAUGAACAAAGUUCAAGGAGCUCUCCCACUUCAACAAUGCUUGUCUUUCUCACUUUCACUUUCCCUUUAGAAAAAGUUUUGAGUUCCCCUCUUUAUUUUUGUUGUUUUUAAACUAUAUGAAAGCACUCAACAGAAAUAAAUGACUCUCUAAAACUUUUGGGUUGUCUCCCUGGCAGCGCCUUCUUUAAAGCCAUUAAGCUAGGCAUAUAGUGCUCAAGUAAUGGAUCCACCCGGAUCCCAAGGUAUAUCAAAGCCAAUUUUAAUUAACAAUGAUUUGUAAUUUAGUGGUGAGCACAAGGUAACAUAUAUCAUGUAAUGACGAAGUCUAACUCUCUUCCUAUGCAUCGGCAUGUCAUAAAAGAACAAUUCAUGCACACAAAGUAAAGGCCAAUGCAUAGUAUAAACAGGUUCUUGCAAUUUUAUCGUAUUAGAAACAUAGAGAGGUGGAGAUAUAGUUCCUCUCUCAUAAUAAUUGCAAGUAGGAGCAGCAAGCACAUGCAUAUUAUAUCUAUCAAAAUCAUCAUGUGCAACGAUAAAAGGCAACCCAUCAAUAUAAUCCCUAAUAAGUGCAAACCUCUCCGCUAUAGUGUAGUCGGGAGAAUUCAAAAAGAUAAUAGGACUAUCAUGCGUGGGUGAAAUAGCAACAAUUUCAUGUUUAACAUAAGGAACUAUAGCAAGUUCAUCUCCAUAAGCAUAAUUCAUAUUGGCAUCUUGGCCACAAGCAUCAUCAAAAAGGGAUGUUUCAAAAGAAUCGACGAGAUCAUAACAGUCAUCAUAGCAAUCAUCCUUCGGUAAGCACAAAGGGGAAUUAAACAAUGUAUGAGUUGAAGAGUUACUCUCAUAGGAGGUGGGCACGGGUGAUCAAUCCGCUCUUCCUUCUUUUGUUCUUCGCUCUCCUCCUCAUCUUUUUCAUCCAAUGAGCUCACAGUUUCAUCAACUUCUUCUUCCAUAGAUUUCUGCAAAAUAUUAGUCUCUUCUUGGACAGCGGAGACUUUCUCAAUAAGCGCAUUAAUAUAGUAAUUAUAUUCAUAAUUAUCAUAGCAAUAUUUUAAGAUAGCUAAAUUUUCAGGCCUAUAAACAUCAUCAUCAUAAGCUUCAUUCUUUUCAAACAAAGAUUCAAUUUAAUAAGCACCCUUAAAAGCAACAAAUUCUUCUAUUUGUUCCACAUCAUAGUAAUCAUAUAUACCUCUAGCAUAAGAAGCCAAGGUUUCAUUAUCAUUAAAUUCACAUGAAAAGGAAAGGUGUGGAGCCUUCAUCCUAGAGCAACAAGUAAUAUAAUAACUCAAGCAUACUUGCCGAGCAUACCACUUCAAUAUAUAAAUUUGAUACCAUAAUAGUUUCCCUUUUUGUGUCAAGCGAUAAUCCCUAAAGUAUUCACGUUGAUCCAACGUUACUCCCAUUACCAGAUUGAAUGAGGUUUUCUCAGGAUUAUCAAAGUGGUACAUAAUAUUUUUCACAUAUUGAGCAUCGAGGGUUUUAGGAGGUUCCUCAUCUCCAUGAGUAGCAAGUACACCUAAUAUUUUUGGUAUUUCGUGUUCCAUAUCCAUAACUAAAGAUAGAGAACAACUAAGAACAGCAAAUAAAAAUUACUUAGUGAUAAAGAAAACAAGCACACACGAGAAUAUUCACCCCACGCUAUUGCUCCUCGGCAACGGCGCUAGAAAAAGGUCUUGAUAACCCACAAGUAUAGGGGAUCGCAACAGUUUUCGAUAAGUAAGAGUGUCGAACCCAACGAGGAGCUAAAGGCAGAACAAAUAUUCCCUCAAGUUCUAUCGACCACCGAUACAACUCUACGCACGCCUGAUGUUCACUUUACCUAGAACAAGUAUGCAACUAGAAGUACUUUGUAGGUGUUGUUGAGUAGGUUUGCAAGAUAAUAAAGAGCAAGUAAAUAAAAAGUAGUGGCUGUUUAGAUAAAGACACAACUAAGUUAGGUUUAGUAGAGAGCUUGUUAUCAAGAGAAAGUUAUUUGUCCCUAGGCAAUCGAUAACUAGACCGGUAAUCAUUAUUACAAUUUUAUUUGAGGGAGAGGCAUAAGCUAACAUACUUUCUCUACUUGGAUCAUAUGCACUUAUGAUUGGAACUCUAGCAAGCAUCCGCAACUACUAAAGAUUCAUUAAGGUAAAACCCAACCAUAGCAUUAAAGCAUCAAGUCCUCUUUAUCCCAUACGCAAACAACCUACUUACUCGGUUUUGUGCUUCUGUUCACUCACGCCACCCACCAUAAGCAAAUCAUAAACAUAUUGCAACACCCUACAGCAGGGAUCCCUCACGCUUGCGCGACACAGAGAGCACCAUAGGACAACACCAAUAAUAAAACAUGCAACUCAAACCAAUCUUGAUCAUCAAAUAGCCAUUAGGAUAAAACGGAUCUACUCAAACAUCAUAGGAUAGCCAUACAUCAUAGGGAAAUAAUUAUAGCGUUGAGCACCAUGUUUAAGUAGAGAUUACAGCGGGUAAGAGAGAGAUUACACCGCUGCAUAGAGGGGGAAAGAGUUGGUGGUGAAGGCGGUGAAGUUGUUGGAGAAGAUGACGGUGAUGAUGAUGGCCCCCGGUGGCACUCCGGCGCCACCGGAAGCAAGGGGGAGAGGGCCCCCCUUCUUCUUCUUCCUUGACCUCCUCCCUAGAUGGCAGAAGGGUUUCCCCUCUGGUCCUUGGCCUCCAUGGCGUGGGAGGGGCGAGAGCCCCUCCGAGAUUGGAUCUGUCUUUUUGUCUCUCUUUGUUUCUGCGUUCUCCCCAGGCUAUGUUUCACCGUUUCGUAUAUAUACGGAGAUCCGUAACUCUGAUUGGCCUGAAACCUUCGCCGUGAUUUUUUCCCGAAAAUUAGCUUUCUUGCGGCAAAAGAAGAGCGUCAACCGCCUUACGGGUGGCUCACAAGGGUAGGGGGCCCGCCCCCUGCCUCGUGACACCCUCGGGCAUCGUCUCGCGUGGAUUUUUCUUCUGGAAUUUUCCAAAUAUUCCAAAAAGUAUCUCCAUCCAUUUUUAUCCCGUUUGGACUCCGUUUGAUAUGGAUAUUCUGCGAAACCAAAAACAUGCAACAGACAGGAACUGGCACUGGGCACUGGAUCAAUAUGUUAGUCCCAAAAAUAGUAUAAAAAAUUGCCAAAAGUAUAUGAAAGUUGUAGAGUAUUGGCAUUGAACAAUAAAAAAAUAUAGAUACGACGGAGAACGGACGCUGUUUUUUUACCUAACAUCACAACGGCAGAAGUGGCCGAGUUGCUGGCAUGCAGGAGGGCGGUGGCACUAGCUCUGCAAAGAGGUGUGCCCAAACUCCAUCUGGACACCGACUGUCUGAACGUGGCCCGGAUGCUGAAUGAGCAAGAUCGAUAUCUGUCGUCGGUAGGUAUCAUGGUGGAAGAGAUCAAGGGGAUGGCUACAAACUUGGGGGAGUUCAAAGCUACAUGGGUGAGGAGGGAGGCGAAUAAAGCGGCUCAUGAGAUUGCCUGGUUCGGUUUUUGUAAUAGUGUUUCAGUUUCGUGGGAGAAUUCUCCCCGAGAUUGUAUUCUGAGUAUUGUGUUUGAUGAACUUCCUAGUUUAGCUUAAUAAAGUGGGGAGGUGAUUUUCAAAAAAUAAAAAGAAAACGGAGGUGGGUUGGAUGGGAGGAGGAAAUAAAGGACAUAAAAUGAAACCUUGCGUAUUAUUUAAAUAAGAGAGAAAUUAGAUAAUUCACAGUGCAUUACAACAGGGCUACAAAUACUCUGUAUGCAAUCAAAGUGAUUUACAUGCUAUCCCGCUGUUAAUAUGGUCAUAUAUAAAAAAUUGUACUUUAGCUACAAACUGAAUAGUACAUAUCGACUUACAAAAAAGCAUGAUUUAAUUGGGUAAGGCACAUGAGGUGCUUUUCAAGGGAAAAACCGAAGAAAAAAAUGGAUGGGUUUUAAUUGUUACCUUUUGCACCUCCAAAUAUAUGUUCACACAAUUUGAAACUAAAUAUUCAUGUAUGUUUCCUACAAGUGGAAGGAAUUCUUUUUGAAAACAUAAUGGGUAAUUAAAAAUCUACAAGGUAUACUCUAAAAUUUUAAAGGUAAAAAAUAAAACUAAAAGUAAAAAGAGAGAAAAAGGUGAAAAGAAAAACAUACAGAACUCUGCGCACUUUGGGUGAAAAGGUGCCUAUUACUCCUUCACGCCAUCUCCUACAGCUCAUCAAGGAUGAAGCUCGGCUAUGGGCGCAAGCGGGUGCUUUGGGCUUGGUGAACAUCAUUAGGGAGUAGUCGGCAUGCAGUAGUUUGUAUUCCGAGCCCUACCCCCCUCUCUAUCUUUCGGCACAGUGUUUUGGUUGAAUGUCAGAGACUUUGUAACUUAGCGCGACUAUAUUGAUCAGUCCCUUUAGUGAUCUGAUAAAGGAGCAGAAAGGAUUCUCUCCUUUUUCCUAAAGGUGAUCCUGAGUUAUGGAACCCACGAGAGGACGGUGCCCUUUAAGCAAGGGUUUCUAACAAGUUUUUGCAAGAGAAUUAAAUUUCAUCUUUUGUCCAGAUCGCCAAUCAAGCUGACACUGAAAACACUUAUAAUAAAAAUAGGCAUGGGCAUGAGAACUUAUGCUUACAACCAUAUAUUUGUGUCGAUAUCAUCAUGAUCUUAAUUUUUGCUCCGGAAGGCAUCCAUCAAGAUGUGCUUGCUAUGUACCGAAGUGGGGGAUGUGUUCAAAUUACGUCUUAACCAGCACGCGUCCUGCAUUAAGAGUCAGUUGUCCAACCUAAGGCCCUAUCCAUUAUGUGGGGUUACCGCGAUAUUUAAGGUACAAAUAAUCGAACAAAAGCAUUGGGCAUUUAAUGACUACACCUCUUGAAUCUCCAAGGAUAGGAUCCGUGUUACCAUAUUAAAUCUCUCUAUCUCUGAUGUUCAGAAUAACACUUCACGGUUUCCCUGCUCUUAGCCUCUCCGUGACUCGCUCUCCAUGAUCCUAGGUACCUACACUGAUGAAGAAUGCGAACAAGACAAGAGACAACUACGGAGCAACUUUAUGCUACACAUACAAGACAUUAAUUCAAAGUACUUUCAUCAGUCUCUCCAACAAAUACAUCGGGUUGCAUGGCCUUUGCCUCGACCCAUAACCUUACUAAACUACUCACACAAUGGAUUGAUUGUACGUAGAACUCAUCAUGAAGAUUGAUUGAUUGAUUAUAUGUCUUACAAUGAAUGUCGUAUGUGACUAGAUGGGUAAGAACUAUGGUGGUGAUGAAAGUUGUGGCUAUGAAGGUGGGAAAAUGACGGUGGCUAGGGUUGAUGGAGAUGGCUUUUGUGCAGACGACGUUGUGUGGCUUGUUCUGCGAUGUUCUGUUGCUCAUUUGGCGUCGCGCCCUUUAUAAAGGUUGUUCAGGUGGAUCAGACGUCUCAGUUGGCACGCCAUAUGACCGCCCAUAUGAGCGGGCACGGGCGCAUGGAACGUUGUCUUCUGCUCUGGCGCCUCAGAUGUGCCUCCCACUUGAUCUCCUCUAUCUUCAAUUUACUCAUUUCCGUGUAUUGACUUGAUUUCGUCCAUAAAUAGUCCAUUUCCUGUGAAAACGAAAUAAAGAUCGGAUAUUUGAAAUCCUUUGUAUUCAUUAGUCAUUAAUCAGAAUGAAUAUCUCAAUUUUAAUAAAAUACUUCGGUUUAAGCUCAGGUUAGAGGAGUGUAAAAAUAACACUCAUCAACUAUAUGGGGUGAUCUGUGAGAGUUCUUAUUCUGGGGCACGACUAUAUGUCGCUUAGCGCGAGACCGAGCUUACACUCGCGUCGAGGUUCGGUAUUAACAGGCCAGCCCAAGUAGCUUCCAUGUUAGUUUGUUUUUCUGCUAUUUUUCAUUAGUUCAUUUUUUGUUUAUAUUUACUAAAAUAAGCAAAAAAAUAAAUGUUAUUAAAAUUUUAAAAUGUUGAAGCGGUGCACAAAAUUUAUUAGCCUAAUCCUAAAACAAAUGUUGAUACCAUUGAAAAAAGUUCUUUGUGACAAAAAAGUUCACGUGUUUAAAAAAAGUGUACAUGGCAUUAUGGAAAAAUGUUAAUCAUGUAUGACAAAAAUGUUAUAUGUGUAUAAGGAAAUGCUCUUGACGUUUAGAAGAAAUAUGUAAAUAUGUAUUAGAAAAGAAGACAUAAAAACAUAUAUAUAUGAAAAAAUGAUAAUCAUGACCUUAAAUAAUGGAAAACAUGUGCAAAACAAAUAUUAGCGCAAUUUAAAAAAUGUUGCUGCGUUUCUAAAAAUAUAUGUGGAAUAUUUGAAAAAUAUUAAUACAAACUCAGAAUUUGUUUUUGGAGUAUAAAAAACUUUCAUAACAUAUAUAGAAUGCACAUGAAAUUUUAAAGAAAUAAUCUCGUUUUUCAAAAAAAUGUUACUGUCAUGUUUAACAAAUGUUUACAUAUUGUAAGAAAAUGUUCACGUUGUUAACAGAAAUGGUUGUAACCAGAAUAAACUUUGACCAACUAUUCGAAUGUUUUUCGAAACAUGUAUGAAAGAAAUGUACAUCGUGUAUUUGAAAAAAUGUUCAACGGGUAAUAAUAAUAACUGUUUCAUGUAAAGACUAAAAAUGUAUAUUGGGCACUGAAGAUAAGUAGACAUGUGUUAAACAAAAAAAUGAAAAACGACAAACAAACAAAGAAGAAAUGCGUAGACAGACCGCAAAAAAAUGAGAGAGAAAAAACCAAUACCAAGGGAAACUGAAAAGGAAACAUAGAAAACUGGUGACAAAACUCGCCAUGCCUCUCGCGGGGAAAAACCUUUCCUCUCGCGUAAGCAAAACCAUGCAUCGCACGAAAGAAGAAGAAAAGAAGUGAAAACUCUUUUAUUUUUCUUUCGUUUCCGAGAGGCACGGCCGUGCCUCUCACGGAAGCAAACCCAUGCCUCUCGUAGAAGCAAAGCCAUGUCUCUUAAGAAAGAAAAAGAAGCAUGUUUUUUCAUGCAUUUUUUGAAUUUUGUUUUUGUCGAAAACUAAGCAAGACCGGUGAAAAACCGAAAAGUAAAAAAAACAGGGAAAAACCAUCUAAAAAGCCAAAAACGCAUCCGAAAAAAAAUCUGGAGGAAGCACCUAGGUCGUGACAUGUGGCGGUGGCGCGCUCUCAGUCCACUGAUCGUUGCGAGGCAGCCGAAAUAGCGCUCGUCAACGGAUUGCUCUCGAAAAAAUCAGCGAGAUGGAAGCAACAGUCCUGUUGGGCGAAAUAUAGCCGUGGUGUUUAUUCUACGUCUUCACGGUCCAAUUUGGGCAUAACGCGCGGUUAGGUCGCGACCCAAUAUGCCCGCUCGUCGUUUACUUGCCAGACCAUUCGUUCGCUCUCUCGCGUACAGUUGUCUUUUUUUUAUAUCCCGCUUGAUACUUAGAAAUAUUCAUCAGAUCAUCGUGAAUUCAAAAAAUGUUCAAGAACAUUUAGAGAAAUGUUUAUGAAUUAAGAAAUGAUAAAAACAUUAGAUUAUUUACGGAUCAAAAUAGAUUCUUGAAUUUUAAAAAUAUUCAAAAAGAAAUUGCAUGGAAUUUGAAUAUAGUUUUGAAUUCAAAAGUGAUUUUAAAACAUUAAUGAAUUUAUAAAACGUUCACACAUCUUAAAAUUUCAUGGAUUAUUAAAUGUUCACAAAUGUUUCAAAUUUUCAGUAACUAUGAAAAGGUUCAGGAAAUUUAAAAUAUUUUUUACUUUUAAAAAUUAAGGGAACAAAUAAAGCCAGCAAUAAAGAUAAAAAAAUUAGAAAAUAAAUUCAUCGGAAGCUGGUAUAAAAAUCCCAGAAGAGAGGGGUCCCAUCCACCUGAGAAGGAAAAAAGGUGGUGGCGCAGGCACAAGAAGCUAAUCCUCUCGAAAUAGGCUUUCGCUCCGCUUUAUAGAUAAAGCAAAGAUCCAUACAACCAACAUCCAGAUAAGCCAUAAAGGUGGCGGCUUGGGCAACAACACAAUAAUGCCCAAGGAGAAACAUAUGAGAAAAGAAAAAUAAGGCCACCUAGUGGCGGUCGACGGGCGAAGCUAGGAUGACGAAAUCGGACGUGUUGAAUCCACGAGCGCAUCCAGCAUGGUGUCUAGACUCUCGCGGUCGUGCUGCCUAGCAAGUGGGUGCCAUUACUGCAGAAAAGUAAGGAAUUCAAACAAAGAGUCAGAUGCCUGCCUCGGGAACACCUUCUUAAUCACCAUUUUAUUUCUUGUCGUCCAAAGAGUCCAUGACAUGGCCGCAAAGAUCAGCCACAAUGUGCGGCGGUGUCGUCCUAGCAAGGUAGCCCUGGCCUGGAGGAAGUCCACGAGAUCCAGGGCCUCCCAGUCGGGCCCUAGUGCCUCAUGAACGAACUGCCAAAGGACCCGAGCCAUCAUGCACAAGAAUAUAAUAUGGGCCAUAGUCUUCGCGACCCUGCAUAAAGGGCAAAGUUCAUCACCCGGCCCCUGUCGUUUGAGAACCUCGAUUCCCGAAGGGAGGCAAUCUCUAAGAAGCUGCCAAAUGAAAAUCUUUAUCUUCAAGGGCAUGGGGGCCUUCCACAAGUUAGAUAGCCAAGGGAUGACGGGGAGGCGGCCUAGAGCCUUGUAUGCGGAUUUGACGGGAAACUCACCCGAAGGUGAGAGCCGCCAUGAUAUACUGUCCGGAUAGUCUGACAACACUGGUGGCAGGGCUGCCAACACAAGAAGCUAAUCCAGCCAGGCCAUCAAUGACAUCUCGAACAACUGCCCAAUAUUACGGCAUAAUUGUUUAAUUGGACUUUUGAACCAAAAAAACCUUUCCAACAAUUGCCCUUAUUAAAAAAAUACAAGAUGUUUUUGGGCAGCCCAAAAAGGGCAGGGCCGACUGCACACCCGGGCUGCUCCCGCAAGCCCAAAAAUGAGUCGUCCGCAGGCCCAACCGUCACACCCAAAAACUUCCCGCAGCCACAAACCCUCCCAUGUCGCCGCCGCUUCACCGGAUCCGGCUGCCAUUGCCUUCACUGCACCACCCCGCCGCUCGUAUCCGUUGUUCCUCUACUCCAGUCGGCUGCACCGCCACCGCCCAGCCGCCACAUCUCCCCAUUUUACUGUCGUCACACCGUGCCACACCGUUGAGUCCAUCUUCCACUGUCGAUGAUGCCACCGCAACACGCGAAGAGCCAAUCCGGCUAUCGCGGCGUUCGGGCAGGGAAAUCUGGCCGGUUUAGCAUCGAGUUUCAAUGCGACGGCUGAUGGUAUUGGCUUGGCACCCUCGCGACGGCAGAGAUCGCCGCGCGCGCCUAUGGCAUCUCCGUGUGGAGGCUCGAUCGGCCUUGACAUGAGCUCAACUUCCCGAAGAUUGAGACACAUGUGGAUGCAUAUUUCAUCGGCUCGAUGGCAACCAUUGCGUCCCGCUCGACGAUGAGGGAGACCUGCAACGUCCUCGAGCAUAGGGACACUCAGGAGAACGAUGAGGUGGCUAUGGCGAGUUCGUGAGGGAAAACCCACACCUCAUGCAGGCGGAUUUCUUCUAGAAGAUGGACAAUGAGCGCAAGAAGAUGGAACGCAUGACAGAGGAUGACGCAGGGCCUUCAUGGGUGAUGAAUAUGCUGUCCGGCGACGAGGGUUUCGACAUUGACUGAGAGGGCCUUGCGCAUGAGAGUGAUGAGUAGUUGUCUACUGUUUGUAGUGUCGGUAGUGUACUAUGUUUAAAAGUUCGAAUGUUUGCAUCUUUGCAUAUUUCAAACUAUUUGGAAGUUUGCAAGUCUGAAUGUUUUGAUGUUUGAAUGUGUGAACAUUUGAAGUUUUAUUCACAACAAUGUGAACAUUUGAAGAUUGCCAUGAUGUGCAUGCAAUAUGCUCAAGUAGUUUGGAUGUUUUAGCAUGUUUUGAGUGCCCUAAAAUAGGGCAACAUGUUUCUGCAAAGAAAGAAUGAAUAAGAACAAUUUUGAGUGCUAUAAAAUUACUUUUUAGUAUCCUAAAUUAGACUCCAAUAGUUUUUUCCUCCUUAAAUAUGACAGUUCUUGAAGAUUAGACAUGGUUCUGUGUAACAAGAGCGAAAUAGAAAAUUGAGAAUGGGCUGACAGUGAGAGGUAAGAGCAUCUCUACUCUAGCCGAUCCCCUAAAUCCGGUUAGAGGAGUAAAACAAAUUUCGGUUUUACUUCUCUGACCGGCACCUAGCUGAUCCCCUGAAGUCUAUAGUGGAGUAAAAAAUUACUCCUCGGCUCCGCCGACGCCUAAUUAUACUCGGCCUCAACCCGGCCGGGUAAAAUUUGUGGCCUAUUUUCCGUGCCCCUCCCCCCUCUGCAUCGUCGCGGCGCACCUGUCGGCGACUAACCACCACCUCUGCCGCUACCUCGCUGCCUCCCUUGGCCCUCGCCGUCAUUCUGUUGUUGUCCGAGCCAUUCGAUGGCCAUCGCCAAUGCUGGAGUCGAGCGAAAACGCCGCAGCCGCGUCCACCAUUUCGCUAGGAACCACCUCGGAUCCUCUUUCUCGUUGGUUGGACGACAUCUCACCGGCAUUGCGAACCUUUGCCGAUCUUUCCCACUCCUCAGCGCAUGCUCAUUUGAGCUCCAUGUUGCAGGUCGGCCGAUACUUCUCCACCGCCUUGCAAAAGUUCGACGAUUUGCCUAGGUGUUUUUUUUGUUAUUUUGUCUCAUUUUUUUUGGCCGAGUUGAACUUACUGAGUCGUUUGAAUUGAAGAUGAAGAGGCUCGGAGAUAUGAUCUUCGAGGACUCAUCGUCAUCGGAGGAGGAAGAAGAUGGCGAUGGCUAUGAAAUUGUCCUCCACAUGAUUUUCAAUGAUGAUAUUCGGCGGUCGAAAAGAGAAUCGCAGUUUGGCCGGAUACAACUCAACCGUGAUCGAGCGGAGGUCCGGGCCAACAUUAUGAGAGUUUAUUUUGACCCUAAUCCGACCUAUCCGAGGAAGUAUUUUGCCGCCACUUUCAGAUGCAAACAAGUCUUUUUCUCACCAUUUCACAAGCCGUGGAGAAGUAUGACGGUUGGUUCAAGCUUUGAAGGAAUGCAUGCGGAGAGAUAAGCGAGAGCCCUUUGAUAAAGUGCAUUGCGGUUGUUCGAGUUCUUUGCAUAUGGGUGUUCGGCCGAUGCAAUUGACGACUAUGCCUGCAUUGGGAAACACACAAUCUUGAAGGCCAUUCGAAGGUACACGAAAGCAGUGAUUGAUGUCUUUGUGCUGGAGUACUUGAGGGCACCCAACGAGGAAGAAACCCAGAGGCUUAUGAUAGAGAGUGGAGCAAGAGGAUUGCCUGGGAUGCGUGGAUUAGUAGACUGUAUGCGCUGGACCUGGAAAAAUUGUCCUAUAGGAUGAAAAGGUCAGUAUAAAUGCCACUGCAACAAUCCCACGAUCAUUCUUGAGGCUAUUGCAUCAGAGGAUCUAUGGAUUUGUUAUUCAUUCUUUGGAUUGCCUAGCUCACACAAUGAACUGAAUGUGCUUUUAAGAUCACCACUGUUUGCUAGGCUUGUUGCGGGACAUGCUCCUCCUUGCAACUCUACGUCAAUGGUCAUGAGUACACGAUAGACUACUACCUUGCGGAUGUCAUCUAUCCUUCAUGGGCCACAUUUGUCAAAACAAUUCCGCACCAAAAGGUAACAAAAGUUCUUACUUUGCAACACAUCAAAAAUCUACUACUCCCCCCGUUUCUAAAUAUAAACCUUUUUAAAUAUUUCAAUGUGGACAACAUAUGGAUGUAUAUAGACAUAUUUUAUAGUGUAGGUUCACUCAUUUUGCUUCGUAUGUAGUCCGUAUUGGAAUCUCUAAAAAAGCUUAUAUUUAGGAACGGAGGGAGUAGAAAGGAUGUGGAGAGAGCUUUUGUGUGCUUCAGGAAGCGCUUUCCAAUCGUUCGUGUCCCUACCAAGUAUUAGAACUCCAAGGUUCUAUGGCAAAUCUGACUUGUUGUACCAUUUUACAUAACAUGAUCAUUGAAGAUGAGAGAGGAAUGCCCAUCACUAUUGAGAAUCCUGUUAAGCAGAACACGAUCGAAAAAAAAAAGGCGUUACUUGAAGCGCAACGGAGGAUUGAGAACCUAGAAGUUAAUAACCAGCUCGACCAUGAUCUUGUUGAGCAUCGGUGUCAUCUCCAUAGCACUUCGUAGUCGUGCUAUCAUGCUAUGUACUUUAUUUGGACCAUUCGGUGUGUUUGAAUUUGAAUAAUUUGAUUUCUAAACUAUGAAUGUGUAAUAUUUAUGAAUUGUGUGAAACUUAUUUAUUAUCUUUAGUUUUUAUAUGUGUGCUAAUAUGUAGUCAAGUUUAUUUCGAUGGCUGAAAAUGAAAAGAAUUUGACAAACAUAGAAAUUUACUCCACUAAUUUUAGAAUUUCGGUUAGGUCUGACAAAAAAUUAGUGGAUCAAAUUUGCUCCACUGUAGCUAACUCGACGUUUAUUCCUCUAUUAUUUUUUAGGGAUCUGACCGGAGAUAGUAUAAGAGCACGGAAUGAGAGGAGAAGCUUCUCCAAAUUUAUAGCCACCAAUCGACGAUAGAAACCGGUGGCCGGCGUGGUAUUGCAGUGUCAGUACGGGUUGACAUCCUCUGCAGUAUUGUACGGUAAUGUAGUGCGGAUGACACGUAGGACCGGGCCCACAUGUUAGUGAAUGUACUGUACCGUACAGUACUGCAGAGGAUCCCAACCAUGUCGGUACACCGUCCAAAAACCAUCCUGGCACCUGUUAAUCAAUUGGUAAGGCACCUGUUGAACACGCGUACCAUCCAAACCCAGCUGCUGCUCCUGCUCGUCUCAAACAACGGGAGGUGUUCAUGCUCUAUGGGCGCCCAGUGCGCGUGGGACGAGCACGACGUCGACACUCUCGCUUGCUUUGGCAGUCAACGCAACACGGCCUUUUGCUUCGAGGUCUUUCCAGAGCGCGCGCACCGCCGUCCACGCCGUCCCCGCGUAUUAAAAACUCGCCGCCGCCGUUGCUGUCAAAACCGUGGUGCGACGCGGCGAGACCAGCCAACACCACAGUUAGCAUGAACCCAACAUAUUCCCGUGGGCAAAACAAAUACGGUAGUAGAAGCUGCGCCAGAUAUAAAUAGGUGCCAACACAUCUUUACAUUUCCUCAAACCAACCGAGAUCACAUCACACAACACACAACAGACGACACAAAAACUCCUGAAACUAGCGUCGGUACGCACCGAGAGCUUCUUCUGAAGAUGAGCGUGGAGAUCCUGGACGGGAAGACGGUGCAGAGCUUCGUGGAGGACGAGUGCGCCUUCAACGCCUCCGUCGACGGCCGCUUCGCGGCGCUCGAUGCCAACCACGACGGUCUCCUCUCCUACACCGAGAUGGCCGGGGAGAUCAUGAGCCUCCGGGUUCUCGAGAAGCACUUCGGUGUGGACGAGGCCGGCGCCGUUGGUCCCGACGAGCUCGCGAAGCUCUACCGCGGUCUGUUCGCGCGCUUUGACCGCGACGGAGACGGCGCGGUGGACCGCGACGAGUUCCGGGCAGAGAUGAAGGAGGUCAUGCUCGCCGUGGCCAACGGGCUCGGCUUCAUGCCGGUGCAGAUGGUGGUCGAGGAGGGGAGCUUUCUCAAGGUGGCCGUGGACCGGGAGCUGGCCAGAGCUGCCUGACCGAUUUUGUUUGUACUACUACGUGUGUAUGCGAGUAAGGAUAAUGUUUUUGUUUUAUCUUCAAAACGAGAAGUGAGUACUAAUGCUGAAGCCUCUAUGGCAUUCAGCUAUAUCUACGUGAUUGUGUAUUUCAUAGACGAAUUUGUCCCAUUAAUAAGUUAAUUUGUCGAUUAAUCCCUACUAAUAGGGCCACCGAUAGCCAAUAAAAUAGAUAAAUCAUCCGAUUAAUUGAUAAAUUAAAGAUUAAUUUAUCGAUUAGCUUAUUAAUCUUCUGCUCGCCCGCCAGCCCAGAAGCUAGCAAUUAAUGAUUUCCUCACCAAUGGGUUUAUGUACUAUUUUCAUACGAGUUAAAGGUCGGGCAUAUGAUAAAAUAACGACUGCUCAAUAAUUAGUUAGAACCAUGACAUUUGUUCCAAAGGGCAUCUCCAAUGUUCAUUCUCAAAUCGUCUGCAUUUUAUUGGGACCUAUUUUACCAUUUAAUGCGGUAUUUCAUCUAUCUGCCAACCGGUAUGUCCGCUUUUCUACAAAACGAGGAUCAUGAGGCUUAGUGAACAUUCGGACCGUUCCCACGUCCGCGACAGACAACUCGAACCCACCCAAAACUCUCUCCCUUGCCCGCGCCCCUUCUAAAGCGAAGCAGUUGCCAUGUAGCGCCGCAUACAUGCCGACACAGAGCGGACGCGACUUCUCACUGGUGUCGGCACUGAAGCGGUGUGUCCACCGAGAGUGCCGCCCAUGCCGCAUCCCGGUGCCCGCACCUAUUCAAUACCGAAUAGAUGUGACUAGACGGGAUGGAUAUUUGCCGCAUUUAAAUGGGUUGCCCGCCAUUCGCCGUCCGUCAUUAAACAUACACGCCAGCGGAGAAACCAACUUCGGCAUGCGCAUUGACACACCGCGCCGCUUGGCAUGGUUGGCGUCCGCUAUUUAAAUGAGGCCUCGCCCAGCACAAAGCAUACUACACCUAGUCUUGAUUCACAUCCUCCACUGUGCACCACUUCUGCCAUGACCACAUGGUCUAGCGCGUUAUGGGAGAGCCUUUCCACGAAGUAGAAGCACAAGCUGGCUACCCUUGCGGGCAACUGGCAGAGCCAUUGUUUGAGGCGGACAGAGGCUGGCAUGUGGGCCGGCUCCCCGAAGUUCUUCGACGACGACCCGGCGAUGGAAAUGGCCUCCGACGAUGACUCGGCGCCCCUGCGUGCGCCGUUCCACACCGACUUGACCAUGGAGCAAGCGCAUGCACAUUUCAUCGCCGCCAUGGCGAAGGAGCAGCUGGAAUCAUAACUAGUGUCGGUGUUCCGGCCGGCGUAACCGGAUCCGCUGCCUCGACAGAGAGCUCACCAAGAUUGGCAAGGAAUGGCGCUAAGCCACAUCUCCACCAAUGUUGGCUGGGCCAAGGCCGUUGCCGGCAGGGCACCACGGCCGGGGUCGGCAACGGCUCCUCCGCGAGCGCCAGGCCGCGACCGGGCAAGGCUUUCACGGCCCGCGUCCUUCCAUAGCUAGAAGAACGACGAUGGUAACACGAACGACGACGACGGAACGACUGCCAGGGCAGCCAAGUGUACGAUGUUGUUCGCCCGCUACAAGUUAGACACCUAGGGUGUUUUUCUUUAUUUUUUGUUAUACGAGUUUUUAUGUAAAUUAUUAUGUCUGAACUUUGCUGAAAUCCGUCAUGUUUGAUAAAAAAAUUCAAGUUCGUGUCACCAUCGUACGGAGCUGUUCAAGAGGAUUCGCCCAUCACGUGUUUGACGAAAUGUCGGGGCGAACAUGUCAAAACAUGCGCCCGUUCUUGUUGGACGCAUCGGUCGACCCAAAUCAAAAGAAAAACACGCACAGGCGGACGAGUGAUCCAAACAGAUAAAAAACAAACAAAAUGGGUGUCCGUUUGGUUAGAGUUGCUCUAACACUCGCAGGAUCCAGAUCCCACAGCUGCAGCAAGCUUGUAAACCGUGUGAGGACAAGAAACAGGGGCCUUGAGCUAGGGGACGACUCGUAGUCGGCCGUCGUUACUCUUUUGACCGAUGACCGAUCAGUGUCAAUGUCAUGGCCUUUGCUUGGAGGGCUUUUCCAUGUCGUCGCACCUACGCAUAUUCCGCGCGUAUUAAAAUUCUUGGGCACGAGACGCCGGCGUUGCUGUCAAACACCCUUCUGCGACGCGGCCGACACCAGCCAACACCACACGAUUCUGUGGGGAAGACAAAAUAGUAUACUACUUUGGAGAGACUUUGCUUACAUCUGAAGCGAGUCUCGUCAACCUCGGCGCAUCCCACAGCGAUAUUGCCGACCACCGUAAACCAAAUGAAGCAUCGCCAGCUAUAAAUACCGGCCAAGGGCCAACACCUCUUCCCCACGUCCACAAACCGGCCGAGAUCACAACACACAACACGAGAAACUCCCGAAACUCCAACAUCAGUUGCAGCAGAGAGAUUUCUUUUCAAGAUGAGCGUGGAGAUCCUGGACGGGAAGACGGUGCAGAGCUUCGUGGAGGACGAGGGCGCCUUCAACGCCUCCGUCGACGGCCGCUUCGCGGCGCUCGACGCCAACCACGACGGCCUGCUCUCCUACGCCGAGAUGGCCGGGGAGCUCAUGAGCCUCCGGGUCCUGGAGAAGCACUUCGGCGUCGACGAGGCCGGCGCCCUGGGGCCCGACGAGCUCGCGGGGCUCUACCGCGGCCUGUUCGCGCGCUUCGACCACGACGGCAACGGCACCGUGGACCGCGACGAGUUCAGGGCUGAGAUGAAGGAGGUCAUGCUCGCCGUGGCCAGCGGGCUCGGGUUCGUGCCGGUGCAGAUGGUGGUCGAGGAGGGAAGCUUUCUCAAGGUGGCCGUGGACAGGGAGCUGGCCAGAGCUGACUGACCGAUUUUUGCUUCUGCUUGUACGAGCACGUGUAUGCUGCAGAGUAGUAGUAUGAACCAGGCAUCGUUAAGUCAGUAAUAAUCGUUAAGUGAGCUAAUGUUUUAAAUUUUUCUUUCGAGACGAGGACUACAAAUGCGGAAUGCCAUUAGGCUAUGUAUAAGUGUGCUUUCGCAAAAAAAAGAGGCUAUGUAUAAAUGUGAUUGCAUAUUUACAGUGGCAGUUAUGAUUAUUACUUCUUUUUUUUUGCGAGGGUAAAAGAGAUUUUAUUCCAUAAUCACAGGGUUACAGUCAAGAGGCAAAAGUUCCUCCACGCAAGGUGGACCUCUGCCUAGCCAUACAGCAGUGGUACUCUCCGUACGACUAUAUGAAGCCAAUCGAUCUGCUACCCUGUUUUGUUCACGCUUAAUUUUCGACGGAAUAAACUCUCUUACACCCAUGUGCCUCUGAAUCUCAGCUAUCAAAUGUCCAUAAGCGGAGUAUCGAAGGUUGUCCCCUUUCAACGCCAUGAAAGCUUCUGACGAAUCGGUUUGGACAAUAAUAGGCCCCUCCCCGUGCUCAAUAGCAAGUGCCAUCCCUUGCAUUAAAGCAUGUAGUUCCGCUUCUAGGGCGUCAUUGUAGUUAAAGAUACAUCGAUAUGCCGCAAAGAUGAUGCUACCGUCGCUUCGUCUCAGCACCAUCCCCGCUGCUGCUGAACCAUCUGCCUCCGAGAACGCACCGUCGACCGACAGUGCGGUUUGGCCAAGGGAGGGUUUUGGCCAUGGCAGCACCGGUGCAUGUAUUCGCGCCUUAGCUGGCGCAGCGACGAACGUAGACAUCUUGCCCUUGAUUAUAUCUUCUGUAGUAUACCUUCUGGCCAGUUGAAGUGAGGACAUGUAGCUCUGUAGAUAAUCUGCCGUCGCCGCGGUCGUUGGAAUAGACUUAGCGUGGGUGAGGUCAUUGCGUAGCGACCAAAUCCUCCACAAGAGCAUGAUUGUCCAGUCCCGCAUAGCAUCAUCGCAGUUCAUCAGUAUGUUCAGGAGCCAAUCCUUCCCGGUGUCCUUCAACAUCUGAUUGUCUGGCAAAGGCCAAACCUGGCGCAUAUGAUUCCAUAGCAAUUGCGUGUGAUCACAUGUGAUGAGAGCAUGGAAACUUGAUUCCUUCUCUAAGCCACACAACGGACAAGUGUCCCUAGUAGCUAUGUGUCUGUGUUUCUUGUAUGCGUUGGUGGCUAAAGCCCCAGCCACCACUUUCCAGGCUAGAAUACGCAUCUUGAGGGGCAACUUGGCAUGCCAAAUACGUCGCCAAAUCACCUGAUGUCCUCCCGGAGCCGAACUAGAUGACCCCAGGCCUGCUUGCCCAUCGGAUGUAGCGAGCCGGUAAGCGCUUCUAACCGUAAAACUGCCACUUCUUUCUGGGAACCAAGCCAGAAAAUCUUGCUCUCCUCUAGGUGAUGUCCGGAUCUUUAGAAUUUCAGCGACGUCCAUAUCCCAAAAGUACUGCCUUAACCUGUUUACAUUCCAUGCUCCAGACUCCUCCAAGAAAUCAGCCACCCAGUUGUAUCUGCAAUUUCUUUUUGGGGUUAUUGGUUUGAAGUCGUUCCUCCUGGGAAUCCACGGGUCCCUCCAAGUUCUGAUCAUAGUGCCAUUUCCAACUCUCCAAAUCAAGCCUUUCUUCAACAGUUCGAGGCCAUGAGUGAUUCCUUUCCAAACCGUAGAAGAGCUGGACGGGAACACCGUGUCCAAAAGAUUACUGUUGGGGUAGUAUUUCGUCCGAAGCAGGCGAGCACAUAGGCUGUCUGGGGUAUGUAGUAAUCUCCAAGCUUGCUUUGCAAGAAACGCUUGGUUGAAGGCGCGCAUGUCCCGGAACCCCAUGCCCCCCAUAUCCUUAGGUAAGGUCAUCUUCUCCCAGCUUAGCCAGGCCAUUUUCCUCUUACCAUUCUCCACUCCCCACCAAUACUGCCUCAUCAACCUUGUUAGGUCAUCACACACGGAUACCGGCAGGCGGAAGAUACUCAUCACGUAGGUUGGAAUUGCUUGUGCCACCGCCUUAAUCAGUAUUUCCUUAUUUCCAACUGACACAUACUGUUCACUCCAAUCCACUAAUCUUUUCCGUAGCCUAUCUUGCACGGUCUCAAAUUGCCCUUUAUGUACUCUACCUUCCGGUAUAGGUAAGCCCAAGUACUUAGGUUCAAAAACUUGUUGUGUCACUUCCAGAAUACCCUUCAUCUCUUCCGCCACCGCCUUGGGACAGUUGUCCGAAAAAAGGAUGGAACACUUUUCAGGGUUAAUAAGUUGACCCGUCGCUCUGGCAUAAGUGUUCAACAAACCUUUCACAAUGGUAGCUUGGGGGCUUGAAGCUUCAAACAAUAGCAUAGUAUCAUCGGCGAACAAUAAAUGCGAGAUAACAGGAGCACCACGGCAGAUCGAAACCCCCUUCAACUCUCCCUCAUGCACCGACUUGGAUAACAAGGAGGACAGAGCGUCAGCUAUAAACAGGAAUAGAAAGGGAGACAGGGGGUCACCCUGCCUUAAUCCCCGAGAAGGAGAAAAUGACUCCAGUAGCUUUCCAUUAAAUUUAACCGAGUAUUUCACAGACUUCACACAGGCCAUAAUCCAUGUUAUCCACUCCAUCGAGAACCCCCAUUUUAUUAGGGCUUGCUCCAAGAAUUCCCAAUCUACACGGUCAUAUGCUUUCGAGAGAUCCAAUUUGUAAGCACAAGCAGCAGGACUGUUUGGUUUCAUAGUUAUGAUUAUUACUUCAAGGUUGGGCAUUUCAUUUGGUGGUUUGUCGUGCUCGAAGUUUUCCUGUUUCAGUUUUGUAAAACAUCAGGUAACUGAAAUUUUUCAUCGUGUCGGUCACUUCUCUGCUUCGCCCCAAGCGAGAAACGGGAAGGUAGUGGAUGGCCACAGACUAAACGGCGAGUGUGAGCCAUGAACGAGCGGGAGCCGGUGACGCCACGGCUAGUCGCAUAGUCGACGGUGGAGCGAGUCCAAAACUUGACUAGUGCAGGUUAGGGGUAUGAGUGUAAUCCUUGUGUAACACUUCUUUCCAACCUAACGAUUGAGCGCUCACACAUGUUGGCUCUGGAGGAGAAAGGAUGACUGCCACCAGGGCCGGGCCGGCAUAAUCCGGGCCCUAUGCGAAACUAAAAAUUGGGGCCCUAUUUCACAAAAAAAUGAACUAACGAGCAAUUAUAAUAUAUAUAUAUAUAUAUAUAUAUAUAUAUAUAUAUAUAUAUAGUGUUACUAUUCAUCAUCCAGGGUGCAUAAUAAGUUAUUCUUCACCUGACGUAAUUUUACAAUCAUUUCAUAAUUAAAUUACGUUUAGAAUUCAAAUAGUUAUAUUUCUAUUGAUUCACUACGUAAAAUUUGACAUAAGAAAAUAAAAAUAUAGAUCAUAAGACAAGAAAAUUUGUAGUUUAUGUGUAUUUUAGACUAUGUUUUUACGUUUGUAAUUUUACAUAACAUAAAAUAUUUUUUUACGGCGAUUAUAUAUUUUCUUACGAUCUCUUUUUACGUCGUAAAUAAGACAAAAUUUACGAAAUGUAAAAUUACGGUGCAUUGAUGAUAAAAUAGAGGGAGGGUGAGGAAUAACUAUUCCUCAACCAGGGUGACGAAUAGCGCGACCAUAUAUAUAAAUACUAUUCUGAUCACGGGAUCAGAAUAAUAUUCUGAUUACAACAUGAACUUUCCGAGUAACGCGCCUGACCUUUCCCGAGUAUUAGGUUGAACUUCAGCUAAAAGGUGUCCAAAUGGGGAUUGCGAUAUACCGUUGGAUAGCUAUGGACAUCAGUAUCAUGACCCAAGUUAAAUUUUUGGCAAAAUGUAAGCGGUUUAAGAGCAGUUUUGAAAACCGUUUUUUCUUCAUACAAAAAACGUGAAUCGUAUUUUCGAUCGCAUUUUUAAACCGUUUAUCGAAAUGAGGAAAAUAAUAUGGCGUUGAAAAGCUGCUGCAAAAUCGCUCCUUCCACAUGUUAAAAGUUUUCUCUAAUUCCCUACGGUUAAAGAGUAAUUCGGAAAAUCGUAAAAUUUUGUAAACCGAACACCCGAGUUCGUAUUUUUGACGCUAUUUCUAAACGACUAAUCCAAUUGAGGCAAAUAAUAUGGCGUUGGAAAGCUUAUGAAAAUGCGCUACUUUUGUAUGUUAAAAGUUUUUUCUAAUUUUGAAUGGUUUAAAACUAAUUUAGAAAAUGGUACAAGUUCCACCGAGUUCGUAUUUUCGAGCUAAUUUUUUAACCGUACGUCCAAAUGCAGCAAAUGAAUUGGAAAGUUUGAAGAAAUGCAAAACUUUUUUGUAUAUAUUGUUUCUUCUAAUUCAUUACGGUUUUAUGUCAGUUUUGAAAAUGGUUAAAAACGUAUUUUUACCGUAAUUUCUACAAACUUUAUCGGAAUGGGGCAAAUAAUAUACCGCUGAAAAGCUACGGGAAAUGCAAAACUUUUUCAUGUUGAUGAUUUUCUCUGAAUCCUGGCCGUUUUCAAGUAAUUUCGAAAAUGGCGAGAUCAUUCGUUCUGCCUUUAUCGCGAAACAGAUUCUUCGAAAAUGCACCGCGUGAAGAAUCUGAACUUCUCGGCAUGUCUACUUGAACUUCACUUUGUUUUUCACGUGUUUUUUUUGCUUGUAGCUCUCCAUCCACUCACCGGAAUUGAGCAAGUGAUAUACCAGUGAAAAGCUGCUGUAAACACGUAACUUUUCCGUGUUAAUCAAUUUUUCAUACUCGCGACGAUUUUAAAAGUUUUUCAUCUGAUAUUAAUUCAGUGUAGUAGUUGAACUUCAAUGAUGUUUUCACGUUGAACUUCUGUGACAUAUUUUCGUUUAUAAUUUUCUCAUUCAUUCGUUAGUGUUACACAAAUGAUACUCCUUUUGUACAAACCCCUCUCACAAUAAUUUUUUUUAACUUUCUUUGACCAAGGAGUUGCACUUAUAACAACAAAACUUUUAGUCUUUGCUUUUUUAUUACUUUUUAAUACAAAAUGCACACCAUGUAGUACGUGAACUUCUUGCAGUUAUCAAUCAAACUUCUCUUGGUUACGUGAAAAUAUCUGAGUCUUUUAUAAAUAUUUAUCUGAAUUUCUUAAUCUUUUUUUAUAAAAUUUUGAAACACUUUAUUUUUAAAAGUUGAACUUCUUGUUUUUUAUUUUUGAACUUCUUGUUUCCAUUCUUUAAUAACGAAAAAAAUCCGAGUUUUCUAUAAUCAUCAAACUUCUCCAUCUUUUUAAUAUGGACUUCCUGAUUUUAUUUCUUAAUCUUCUUUCAUGAAAUUUUGAGGCCCUCUAUUAUUAAAAGUUGAACUUCAUGUUAUUUAAUUUUUGAUCUUUUUGUUUUCCAUUCUUUAAUACUGAGGGAAAUCAGAGUUUUUUAUAAUCAUCGAACUUCUCCAUCUUUUUAAUAUGGACUUCCUAGGUUUUUUCCAUAAUCUUUUUUUAUGAAAUUUUGAAGUGCUCUAUUUUUAAAAGUUGAACUUCUUGUUAUUUAAUUUUUGAACUUUGUAUUUCCAUUCUUUAGUAACGAGGAAAAUCUGAGUUUUCUAUAAUCAUCGAACUUCUUCAUCUUUUUAAAUUGGACUUCCUGGUUUAUUUUUUUAGUAACGGAAAAAAUCCUACUUUUUGAUAGACAUCGAGCCGCUGCAUUUUUAAAUUUUAACUUCUAGGUUUGUUUUUAGAGAGAAAAUCUUUGUUAUAAAAUUGUUUGAGAUGCUUUUUUUAAAUGACCUUCUUUGGAUUUGUAACAAGCAUUGAACCAGUUGCGCCGCACCAAUGACAUUAAAACUCAGAUUUUACAGACGAUUUCAAAAGUUUUUCAUCUGAAAUUCAUUCAGUGUAGUAGUUGAACUUCCUGCUGUUUUCACGUUGAACUUCUGUAACGUAUUGGCUUUUGCAAUUUUCUCAUCCAUUCGUCAGUGUUAUACAAAUGAUAUUUUUUUGUACAAACCUCUCACACAAUUAUUUUUUUAACUUUCUCCGAUCGAGGCCUUGAACUUAUAACAACAAAAAAUUUGGACCUUGACUUUUAAUUCAUUUUUCUCAUAUUAAACACAUACCAUUUUUAUAAUUUGAAUUUUUUUCUUUUUAAAAUUAAAUUGCUCCCAAAUAAUAACUGAUCUUCUUUGUGGAUUGAGAGAAUUAGUUUUAAAUGCAAAAAACAAUUUCUUUUUUGUGUUUUCAAACAUGGAAAUACAAGGUAAAAACUUUCUCGCAAGAAUUUUUAAACUUCCCCGGACGGAGCAUUUGAACUUCUUUCAACAAACCUUUUAAGAUUUUAUUUUUUCUAUACUUUUAUAUUCACCUUAAAUGCAUUCCUUGCAGUAAUUGAACUUCUCGUUGUUUUCAAUAUCAACUUCUGUCACAUUUUUGUGUAUAUGUCGAAUUACACGCAGUUGAAAGUCGGACGUCAUUUUUCUGCCAUUCCAAAACAUGUAAUUGGAGGUCGGACGUCCCGCAACAUAAAUUCUGAAUCGUGCACGGAGGUGCACGUGAACUUUUUGCAACAAAUCUGAGUUUUUUAUAUACUUUGAACUUCUCUGUUAUUUUAAUUUCAACUUCCUAGUCAUAUUCUUAUAAAGGAAAUAUGUUUUUAAAUAAGUAUCAAACGUUUUUUUUUGUAAAUUGAACUUCAUAGUUUUAUUUUUCUUAGAAACGGUAAUAAUUUGAGUUUUUUCCGUAUACAUCAAACUACUUCUCUAUUUUAAUUUGAACUUCGUCAUUUUUAUUUUUUAGAAACGGUAAAUUUUUGUGUUUAUAUUUUCUAGCUUUGUACAAAAGUAAUAUUCUUCUUUGGGGCGUAAACACGAACACUUGUGGUGCACACGAGCCGGCUAAAAACUAUGAGACUGUCUUGAUUUUGUGUGUGCACAUCACGCAUGUGCACUGGUUUAUGCAUGCACAACGCACACACACACCACUAGUAGAAUGCAUGCACUCACCACCAGCACACAAACAUAAAAGAACUAUUGGCAGCCACACAUUUUUAAAUGAAAAAAUAGUACGUAAUAAAAGAACUACAAGUUUCAUGUACUACAUGGUGUGUGUUUUUUGCGCCUGCAUAUACAGUUGAACUUCAGGCAUCAAAAUCACUUAGACAAUAGGAAUCGACGAUUCUAUCUGGAUACUAUACAACUACAUGGAACAACAUUGACCAAUUCCACCAGAACACGCAUGUGUAGAUUUGAACACUACAAACCACUAGACUAAUCCCUCCUUGCGUUGGCUACAAUUGACCCGGCUUCCAACAGGGUGUUGUGCCAGCGUUGACAGCUCACUAUCCUUGGCUCCUUGCCGUCGAGGUUGGCAGUCGCAGACAUGGUGGCCUAUGCAGUCAACCACCGCCGGACCGUGCACACAGAAUUUUCUGACCUAACAACACACAACGACUUGAACUUCUAUUUGUUUGGAUUUGGAAAAUCGUUUUUCUGAAUACAAUGAGGUUUGGAUGAAAUAGCACAUGAGUUCAGUUAGUUUCUGAACUUUUCUCAAGACAACAAGCUAAGAGCAGGCCAGGGGACCUAAUGAUCGCUUGCUGCUGCCACAGCGGGGUUUCAACUACAGACCUUCUAGAAUGUUAAAUAAUCCCGUACUGUAAUUUCAAGCAUUAUAAACUCAGAAGAUGCCUACAAUUCUCAGUUUGUGCCGAACCUAGGAGUCGAGGAGAUAACCACACAGUCGAGGAGAUAACCACACAGGACUAUUUAGAGGAGUGCAAGUGAAGCAACCUAUUUCUUCAGAAAAUCAACAAACUAAACUUCAGAAAAUAAAAAAAUUGAACUUCACAGGGCCCUGCAAAAAAUACACGGUCAUGAUCAACUUUAAAAACUUCAGAGAAUAGACAAACUGAACUUCUAGAGGGCCAGAUGCUGACCUUUCUCUUUGUAGCGUCGUUGGUGACCUGUAAUUGAAGGUCGGGGAUGAAAGGUAUCACCUCAACGAGUUCAGGCAGCCGGUGCAGGCCAUCCAUGGAGGAGGGGCAAGCUGCAGCGAGGAGGGACCGCGCCGGCCACGGAGCUGGAGGUCCGUCGGCCGCAGGGAAGGAGCGCGCCGGUCGCAGGGAGGGAGGGCGCUGGCCGCGGAGGAGGAUGGGUGUCGACCACGGGCUGGGAGAGCGCCGGCCGCGGAGGAGGGGCGCCGGCGACGCGGGUCGUGGGGGUGGUGAUGGCACGCUUUUGUUAUCGGGGCCAGGCGGCGUUGCGGUUGGAGGUUGGGGCUCAGGCGGCGGCGCCAUUGGUGGUCUGGGCUCGGCGGUGGCGCGCUUGAAGGUCGGGACUCCAGUGGCAGCGCGGUUGGUGGUCCGGGCUCCGGCGGACGCGUGGUUGGUGACUCGGCUCCGCGGCGGCGCGGUUGGAGGUUGGCGCGAGGGCGGCGGCGAUGGCGGCGCGGGGCGGUGGAGUGCGGUGGGUGGGUGGCCUGGUGCGGCGGCAGAGGUGGAUCGGGGUUGAGGAGAAAGAUGCGGGAGGUGGGGGCAGUUUCUUUUUUUUCCACGAGGUGGGGCCAGUUUCUUGGUUUCGAAGAAUCUCCGGAACAACUCGAUCGGCCCUAUAUAUAUAUACACGCGGUGUGAUCCAAAUAACUAUUCUGAUCCCAGGAUCAGAAUAGUGUCACUCCGAAUUCCGACCGAUCUAAGGACCAGGGACGCAGGGACCGAGGCAGAGCCAUGAGGGACAAGGCGUCGGCGUGGAGGACUCGAGGUCUCCAGCCUCCAGGCGACGAGCGGACAAGAAGUUCUUUUCCUGUAGCCGCCACGAUCCCGAUCCCUGACUCCCUGUAGAGAUCUAGUUCUUUUUUUAGAUAAUGCAGCGAUCGACUCUGAUCAAGUAGGAGGAGUCGUGCUCGAUGCCUCGUCGCUCUGGCUUGAUGGCCGAUGGGCCUAGUCGCUCGGCCCAGUAGGCAGCAGCGCUGAAUUAUUACUAGACCUAUAUGAAAAAUAUGGGGCCCUCCAGAAUUUUGGGCCCUGUGCGGGCCGCACUUUCUGCACCACUGGGGGCCCGGCCCUGACUGCCACUUGGGGUAUGAGUGUAAUCCCGUUCAACCUAACAAUCGAGCGCUCACACACGAGGUCCUCAACUGCGAAUGAAGCACUAGAGACUAAAACAUGUUGGCUCUGGAGGAGAAAGGAUGACUGCCACUGACAGGGAAUGCCAUCACCAGAAAACUAAGGGCCCCAUCACCACACAUCCAUCCAAACCAACCUCUGAAGAAGGCCACAACCUCCUCGCCUGGAUCGAAAGGCGUUGCACCAUAAAAAGGUGGAUAUGCUCCCCCAAGAACAGUAAUGUUUGUCGCCAAAAGAUGGACACACAAAGAGGGUUAGCGCACACCCGACGAUCCGACGCUGGCUUUUCUCAAGCAGAACAACGCCGCUGCCCACAGUCAUCCCAUUGAGAAGGGGAAGCUUCAAACUAGGAUGACGAAGGACAGAACUGCCAACCCCACCCGCACCCAACAACACCCAUCGACCACAAAGCACAAAGCUCCCAGUUUGGCACCUUCAAGGAGGAUACAACACCAAGACCAUCACCGCUGCCCAACAAAUUUAGGCUUCCACAGGGAUAACUAGGGGGAACCCUGGGGUGAGGCCAGUUUGCGCCUUCGUCAUGGUUUGGUGGUUUCCUUCGGUGUUCGUGGAACAGUAGUUGGUGUGGUGCAUGGAGUGGGGGUCUUGGGUGCCGGGGCGGCAUCCCUGGGUGGCUGUCUGAUACGUCCCAAAUGUAUCUAUACUUUUGAUUGUCAUUCUAAUGAAAGUUUAUUUUAAGCUUGUCAAACCUGAGUGUAAACCAAGAUAUUUCAUAAAAACCGAGAUAUUCGCUCUGAUAUUGCCACCAAUGACUAAUGAAUGCAAAGGAUUCCAAAUAUCCUAUAUUUAGUUUGUUUCCACAAGAAAUGGACUAUUUAUGAACGAAAUCAAGGCAAUACAUGGAAAUGAGUAAACAUGAGAUAGAGGAGAUCAAGUGGGAGCCAGAGCAAAAGAUGAUGUUCCAUACGCCCGCACACACUUGUAUGCACUAUUGUAUGGCCUGCCAGGGGCACCCUCUGAUCCACCACUACAAAUACCGUGAAGAGGUCAAUGCCAAAAACAACAUCUUUCGCCGUCGAAAGCUCCAUCUUCAUUAUCCACAACAACCCUAGACGCCGUCAUUUCAUACCUACAUCUCCAUAGCCGCCAUCAUCACCACCACCGUAGUACUCAGCCAGCUAGCCAUACUUUGUAAUGGAUAUCACAUCUGGCAUCCAUUGUAAGACAUAUUAUGAAUCAAUCAAUCUUCAUGAUGUGUUCUUUAAUGAUUUGUUCAUGUGAUCUGAUCUUCAUGUGUGAAUAGUUCCAUAAGGUCAUGGGUUGUAAGACAUAUUAUUCUCAGUGUAGAUUCUCUGAUGUCCAAGUAAGUGAAUUUCAUACCUGUGAGUGUCUGCAUUCCAUAACCCGACUGAAAACCGAUACCAAAUAGUUACAAAACAUAUCUUUGUGUGGAUAAUUGUUUACAGUUUUGAUAUUUCAAUUUCGUGCUAACCCUGAUCAGUUGGACCUGAAAUACCAACCGUACAUAGUACGCCAUUCCCAACGUGGAGCGCCUUUAUUUUCAUAUUGAACUCCGCUAGGAAGAAAAAGUUAGACCGUAGCCUUGUCGAAAACCUACUUUUUGAAAAUAUCUUCCCCUACUAACUCGCCACCUCCUCAUGUUAAGCUACUCACUCGAAGUUUUGUUGGUCAUUUAUUAUUUUUUAUCCUCUUUGAUCAAGUUAAUAAGAAGGAAAACCUUGAUCUUCAAUAUACUUCACACCCACACAAUCUCUGUUUGAAACUAACACUCCAUUUCCAGAUAGCUAGCGAUCGCUCAAUAAUGAUACCCCGCCAAUAGGAUAGUCCCCUUGGGGUAAUAAAGAAAUUGACAAAAAAGGAUUUUGAAGUAACUCGGUCUAAUUAAAAAAAUUAAUCAUGAUUUUCUCUCGAUUAUGAUAUUACAUCCAAGGCCGGCCCUGGGGAGGGGCAGGGGGGCAGCCGCCCCGGGCCCCCAAAGUUCAAGGGCCCCUCCCCAGGUAUGUAGCAUAGCCUUUUUUUAGCCUAUAUGUCCAGCGAGGUAGAUAUCGGGCUGGCUGUCUGGGCCUCACGCAGCAUGCAGCACGCACGCAGCAGGCCAGCGAGGCACAGCGGCAACAAUCGUUUCUUUCCCUUUUUUCACGUAAAAAUAGGAGUGAUUGAUGAUUGAUCCCUUCCUAUUUCAUCUCGCAUUGACGCAGCGAUUUCUAGCAGACGCCGAGGCUUCGGUUGUUCGCGAUUGCGUGCUCAACGCUUUUUUCUCCUUUUCUCCUAAUCCUAAUUUAGAUCAUCAGUCCCUUGCCGCCGAUUUCAAUUCGCCGGGGGCCCGUUGUAAUCCGGCUCUGGUUUCCAUCCAUCGCUGAUUCGGCCAUCCGAGGUAUAACAUGUAUUCUUAUUAUGGUUCUGUAGAUGCAUAGCCGGCCCAGUUGCACUGUUCAACAAUUAAUGAAUUUUUUCAGCGUUGUGUCAUCAUAUCAUCUAGAAGAAAAUAUGCAUCUGCUAGCGACAAAGGAAAAGAAAGAAAAUACAAGGUAUAACGCAAUAUUUUAAGAUGUAUAUAUAGAGAUGAGGGGUUUUCUGCUAGUUUGAUAAUUGCCAAAGUUAUUACAAAUGAAAUGAGUGUAGGUCCAUUGUUUCCGGUAGGACGUCGUGUUACAAGAAGAAACAAUUUGACGAAAGUGAUUGUCGAGAAGAAAUUCUAGAAUUUGAGAAGGCUGUCCAAGUUAAAUAUUUUUUGUUUUGGUUGAUAGCGAUCACUUCUUUGAAGGGUAGAUUGAAAGAACCUAUGGUGUUUAAAGAUAUAUUUGGAAUUUUUUUAGCUCGGAAACUAUGAAGUCAUUGAUGAUAAUGAACUUGAAGAGUGGUGCACAAAAUUUGCAGAAACUUUCUCUCUUCAUAGUUCAUGUGAUGUUGAGGUAUAUGAUCUUAUUUCUGAAUUGAAAAUUGCGGAUUCACUUUGCCAGAUGACUGUAAUAUAUGCUAUGGAGAUUUCGAGAAUGUCAAGAGAAGUUGGUUGUUAUCCUGAUAUCUUCAUUGCUUAUCACAUCUUUAUUUACUAUACCUGUGACUAUCGUAUAGGCCGGAAGAAGUUUUUUGAAGUUGAAAUUAUUGAGGAACUAUCCGAGGUCACCAAUGAGGCAAUGACCCAAGAGAGGUUAUAUGGUUUGGCAACAUAAUGGAAUCGAGAAGAAAAUAUUGGAUGAUAUUGGCAACGACCCCAUCAUAAGUGAUUUUGCAUCAAGGAAUGUUAGAAUUAUUAUUAAAGGUAAUAUUUAUAAAGUACUUGAUAUGCAUACUAGUAUUGGAUGCACUUAAGUGCUUGAUAAUACAUGUACCUAUAUUCAAUGUUAUUGUUAAGAUGUCUAUAUUAAGGGCCCCGACUUUUACUCUCGCCCCGGGCCCCCAAAAUCUCAGGACCGGCCCUGAUUACAUCCCUCUGUCACAAUAGAAGUCGAAAAUGGAGGCGACUUCACUAUACUUGCUUAGGUAAAGCAAUUCUAGAUCCUCGAUCAAACUAGCUUUUCCCAGCAAAAAAAACGUAUCCGCAGAUAGGGAUGGAAAUGGAGCCGAAACUUUCCGCUUUUCCAGCAAAAAAUAGAAAUGGAGAGGAAAAAUGGAAGUGGAAAUGGAAAUUUGCAAAACAAAAAUGGAAACACAAUUUUUUAUGCGAAAACAAAAAUGGAGACGGAACAAUGUUUUACGAUGGAACAGGCGUAGAAAUGGAAGUUUCCGUUUCCAUUAAUAUGGAACUUUGCGUUUUGAAUGUGAGCACAUGGCUAUUUUUCCGUUUCCAUUAAUAUGGAACUUUGCGUUUUGAAUGUGAGCACAUGGCUAUUUUAUGGCCCAGCAUACACACAAUUAGGCCCUACACACAGAUGGCCCAACGUCUGCGUUAGAUUUACUCCAUCAAGCAUGGCAACACACGACUAGAACCCCUAAUCCCAAAGCAAGCACGCCCCCAUCGAUGACAUAUCCUAUUAUAGAGUAUAGAACCAUGAUAUGUCAUAAUAUUUAGUAGUCAUCUUAUCAACUAGACAACUUUAUCGGCUUCUUGUUUUUGUCUUUGGUUCAAGGGGUCACUACUUCCGAUGAACACUUCGCUCCCGUCUCCUUGUCUGUGAUGUAUUCGCUCCAUUUUCGUUUCCGGUAAUAUUCGUUUCCAUAUUUAUUUCAGCGGCUUUUGUAUUUGUUUCCACCUCCACAAAGAAAUAUGAAAAUAAAUGUGGUGGCAUCCAGUUCCAUCCGUUUCUGCUACGUUUUCAUCCAUACCCGCCGCAGCUGCAACAAACCGCUCAUCCCUUGCUUGUUCUUGAGUGCGCAAGGCACUCAAGACGGUGAUUCUUGCUUAAAAAUGAAAGGCUAAACUGCAAGCAAGCAUUCUGUACUUCAAUAUUGCCGAGGAGGUCCCCGGUCCCACCUCCUUAAAGAAGAUAGGAAAGCGGCACAUACCGGGGGUAGCGACUGUCUAUUAAAAACACUGGACUCUGCUGUUAAAACAGAGCAAUGAACAAUGUGGCAAGAAUGCCAAUGGGUAACUAACUCAUGUUCAAGCCGAUGGGCAAUUCUUAAAUGGGAAGGUCUCGGAGGGAUCACCCGCGUGAGAUUGGGAAAGUGGGUACUAGCCAUAUGAACCGCGAGGCGACCCAAAGUGUCGACAACUAGCAAUGGCCAAUCAAAUUCUCUGCUUGAUGAGGAAAAUGCCAUUUUUGUGCCGAGAAUUAAGAAACACACACUAUAAAAAGCCAAUGGCUCACAAGGACGCCACAUGGCAAAAGACAUCGCAUGUGGCUACAAGGCGGCUUGCAUAAUCUUCACAGGUCGACACAAGACGUUUAAGCCGCCUCCACCAAGUAAGAGUAAAGUCACCAAAAGAAAUACCAUAAACAUUUCUAAACUAACCAAAUUGAAGUGAAACACAUAGCGAAUCAACCAAUGGGAAUAGCCUCUGUUAGCAAUAAAAAUGUCUCCCAAAUGACAAGUGACACACGUGUGGCACGAAGUAACACCGCCCCUGGCGUUUUUUAGAACUAAAUUUGCCAUUAAAAACAACUUAGAAAAACUAAAAUUUGCCAUCCAAACAUAAAGUUGCCAUCCUUGGGUAACUGAAUUUGCCAUCAAAAAACGUCAGGGCGAAAUUGCUCCGUGCCACACGUGUGACACUUAUCAGAGUCCAAAGGUUUAACUCACAAUUGAAGAAAGGCGCAACAAAGUGUUAAUCUCAAUCCCAUAAAAAAAUUAAGCUAACCCCAAUCCAAUCGCCAGUUAGAAAAUUCCUUAUUUUCCGUCGAAUAAUGCAAUGCACAAAUAAUAACAACAUGCGUUUCAAGCACCAGACUCCAAAAUUGUUUGGCAAAAGGGCAUCUGGUGCUCGAAACGCGCUCGAAGCUCGAGAGAUGAAAAUCAAAUUGAAAGUGCAAAUGCUGUGGUGGGAGGGUCUGGGCGCUUAUUGAUGAAUGGGUGGCAAUCCAAACAACCAAAGAUAGAUCGACCUCAUCAUCAAGUGCUAUGUCCUGGAGUCCACCGGAGGUGAAUUGGCUGAAAGUGAAUGUUACGGAGCUAUGAAGAAGGAAGGGGCAUGGGCUGGCGGGGGAGUGGUCGUUCGUGACCAUCAUGGCAUGUUCCGUGCAGGGGCUUUGUCAUUUUUUCUCUAACGUCACCGUUCCCGAGCAUUUUUUCUCUUCGCGUUGCAGGUGCUACGCGCGCCUUCCCGCCAGGGCCACCAACUGCCGCAAGAAAGGUUCGCUUGUUUUUCGGCUAGCUAUUUCUUUAGAUUUUGUGGUCGAAGUUUAUUUGUUCAUGGUUUGGUCUGAUUAAUUUGUGCUCAUUUUCAGCUGAGGCCCAAGAAGAAGUUCAUGUGAAUGUUCUUCGUCGGAUUGGGCUACGCGCGUCGUGGGUGGACCAGUGGAAUAAAUCGUCUUAGCAUCGAUCGCGUCCGUGUUAAGAGUUUUUAACUUAUUAAAAAAAGUCAGUCUAAGAGUCUAGUCUCAAGUUAGUGUAUGCAUGGCAAUAUGAUGUCAAUGAAGGUCCACUUGGAUAUUGGAUCCAUGUGUCAUCUUGAACCUCUUUUUUUCUCAGUUAACAUGCUCAUCGGGUUAUGUUGUGAUUUUUAUCCGCAACGUAGUGUCACAUCCUGAAUCCAUAAGGAUAACAAUGGGUCGGACUCGUCUUGAGUUGAAACAUACUGUAUCCAUACCAAUAUCCAUGAAAGCCUUCUUACCUGGAAAAAACCACCUCGGUAAACAAUAAAAACACAUAUCAAUUUUUGGUCUCCCAAUCUUACAAACACGAUAAAAAAACCUCUGGAAUUCUCCUAAAAUAACAUAGCACAGCACCAAAUAACCAUGUCGGGGUUCUGCAAUUCUCUGAGAAGUGUAACCCGAUGGGUCAAGGGCGAAUCCAUUAUGAGAAUGGAAGUCGUGGGCGCUGAGUAAAAUUUUGUGAAGUAAUUUGCUUUGCCUACGGGUAGGCAUCUGAAAAUAUUGUCCCAUGAGUAUACUUGGGUGUGCCAACUAGUACGAGUCAGGUUUGGACACUGCUCAUUUGGGACGGGUAUCCAGGGUAUGUCCUUGCAUAAAAUUGCCAUUCUAAGAAAGUUGCCGCAUAAAGCAUUGUAGGGCAGGAUUGAUGUAGAACUUGACGCAUCUUAGCAAGUGGUUGUGCUGCCCAGAAUCAUAAAAAGACUAAUAUUUAGGAACACGGGUAGUAGCUAAUAUAUUUUUUCAUGGAAUACAUUAAGACCAACACAAUUUUUUUGGAGGUGGAAAGGCGUGUUCAGACCCCCCCCAUGCCGAACACUGCCCCUCCGCCGAGGGGAAUGUAUCUCACCCACCCUUGUGGUGCUACCGGUGCACCGGAUAGCUUAGCACAAUUUAGAACAUUUUUUUAAAAUAAUCUAGCACAUCGACAUAACAUCAAUGUAUGUGUGUCACAAAAAAUCUUAUUAAAAUUCAAAAUUUUGCUUGAGAUAUAGAAAUGUCAGUUUUGACAUCAAUGUGAUAAUGCUCUAAAUCUAAAACCUAACUUAUGUUAUGUACUAUUCUGUGUCGAAAAUUUGUUAUUUUUGUUCCUGUGCUGAAUUUUGAAUCUAAAUUAGAAAUUUUAUGACAGCAUACAUUGAUGUUAUAUGAAUAUAUGCGGUAAUUUUCCUUAGAAUUUUGAAAUGUGCUACGGGAGUUUGAUGAGUCGAUGAAACUGCAAAGUGAAAUUACACCAUCUGCCACCGCGAAAUGAAAAAUGAACGGUUCGGCUGUUCGGCCCAGCCGUUCCCUCUCCUCGCGCACGAGUCGGCCCCUUCCUCCCGUUCUCCUCCACGGCUCCACACCGUGCGUCGGGCGCCGCCGCCGCCACCCAGCGUGAGCACGCAGCGACGCCGCCAUUCGCAUCGCUUACCCGUGAACACGCGGCGGUCCUCUGCCACCCCCUGCUCGAGGCCGCCCGUCUCGCGCCCCCACCAGCCGCCGCCGGCCUCGCCUCACCUCUCUCGGUCCGUCGUUGCUACGAAGGAAGAAUCCGCCGGAGGCAGGAACGAGGACCUCCUCGAGCAGGUCCUCCAUUCGGCAACUUCCGAACUGGACCUUAGUUUUUGGCCAGGGGCGUUAACCAAUCUGGCAGCCGUUGCUCGCAGCGGUUGCAGGUGAUUCGAUCCGGGUCCAUGGCGGCGGCGGCGGCGCUCGCGGUCACGGACGAGCUGGCCCUGCCGCUUCGCGCGGUGGGGUGCCUGGCGGCGGCCGCCGGGGUCUCGCGGGAGGAGGUCGUCGUCAUCACACAGUGCGCCUCGCCCGGUAAAAGCUCCUCGCCCCUUUCCCCUGUUACCCGAACCCCAAGCCGCGAUUUCGCUCGCGCGUAUGCCUAAGCUAAGCUAGGGUUAGGACCUCUGCAUGUUUACAUAAUUACAUACAAUCUGAGAGGAUAAUAUUUCUCGACCGGUAGCUUGGAAUCAAAUUCGAGAUCGGAUCGCCCGGAGCUCAUUAACAUAUUGCUUGCUUGCUGGUUCAGAUUUAGACCUUGAUGCGUUCAAGCGUAUUCUACAUAUGUAUGAUAAUUGCUAUCUGCACAAGUGUUACUCUAUACAUGUAAAGAAUACACGAAAGAAACACACACUAACCGGUUGAGAAAGUAAAAAGGAGAUGUCUAUAUUCUUGCUUCGAUCGUGAGAAAAAUAUACUAUCUCAUCGAACUAUUGGCCUAUCAGGCUACCACUCAUAGACUGAUAUAUGAAUGAGCUGUUACAGAACCCAUGUUAUUUCAGCCAAGUCUUUCUUAUGGUCAGACAAGUCUUUCUUAACAAUCCAAUUGUCGUGCAUUUCACUAAUCUGAGAGUAGACAUUUCAUUGUGUUAGCUUUCGAUGACUCUUACAUAGGCUUCAAUUUUAAUAUGUCACAUCCUUGUAUUAAAACUUAAGUAUGCCAUGAACCUGUUAUAAACCUUUGUUGUGAACAUGGGUCAGGUGGGAAGUUUCCUUUUGAUGAUGCAUCCGUUGGUGCUGUCCUGUCUGUCAUUAAAAAUGUGGAGAGCUUCGGGGAGCAGUUGGUUGCUGAAAUUAGCCGAGUGCUGAAAGCUGGUGGAAUUGUGCUGGUACAGAGCUUCACACCCUCCUCUGAUCAGAAGGUAAUCCAUGGAACAGUUUUUGCUUACAUCCAUUGUCUUGUGAUUUUAAUUUGGCACAACCUGAUUUUCUAAUUUUCUCUGCAUUAGCUAAACAAUUAUAUCGAGCGCCAACUACUCAUGGGCGGUUUUGUUGAAGUGAACGCUUCUGCUACAAGCUCACAGGAUGGCGUGCAGUCUGUUACUGUGAGUAGGACAUAUUGUGUUAAGGCUGAUGUACAUGCUUUUCCUCUAUUGAUGAGUGCUAACUCAAAUCACUUGCAGAUCAAGGCAAAGAAGCCAUCUUGGAGUAUGGGUUCUUCCUUCCCCCUGAGAAAAGCAAUAAAGGCUCUUCCAAAGAUUGAAAUCGAUGACGACGAUGAACUGAUUGAUGAAGACAGCCUCUUGACCGAGGAAGACUUGAAGAAACCACAGCUUCCAGUUGGUAUAGCCAACAAACCCUCUGACCUUGUUUAAUUCUUGUGAAGAUGUUUAAUUCAGGCAGGGCUGAGGCUGAGCAGAAGAUGGAGAAGCUGGGGCUGACUGCAGAACAGAUCGAUAACCCCGUGUCAGCUUGUGGCAGUGUAAGUCAAUUUAAAGCUUGUAGACAUGCAACGCCACUGGUGAUUCUCACUAGCCAACUGACUCUAAGUCACCGACUGAUUAUAUCUUACAUUCCUCUGCGAAACAUCAAUUUCAGUGUGGGUUGGGCGAUGCGUUCCGUUGCAGCACUUGCCCAUACAGAGGCCUGGCACCGUUUAAGUUGGGAGAGAAGGUAACCAAUCUCUAUUCCUCAUUAUAACUUGACUAGAUUCAUUCACGAAGACAGCUUUGGGGUAUGACCUGAGCUUAUUUUGAUGAAUUAUAUGCUGACUCCUCGUUUCUUCAUCUCCAGGUCACCUUGUCUGACAACUUCCUUUUGGUCGACAUAUGAUGGCGGAGAGCAGCCGCGGAUGCGAAAUGGCUUGUUCAGUUUGUUGGUUCGUUAGAAAGGAAUCUACGUUUUUCAUGGUAAAGCAUGGACGAUGGUGGUUACAGCAAAAGAAGAUAACGCGCUUGGAAUGGGGUAGCUUGUGUUAGCCUAUCGUGCCCUGCAGUCAGUUCCCAGGUUGAGGUGAGAGCGGAUCGUGAGUGCGUUUUCUAUUUGGGACGAGUACUAUACAUGUCAAGUAUGCUGCAAUGACGAUGUUUGCAUAUACUAGUAAUCUUGCACACGCAAUUCUAUUAAAAGAGAAGUUACGUAACAUCGACUUUUUUUUGUCAAGCUCAUGCCUCAAAUAUGAGUCAGUGAGAUCACCACAAGCCCACUACAUCUUUGAUCCCAAAUAAUUCACAAAUAGCAUUACAUUGAAAUGUUUGAAUAAGUUAAGUUGUGAGUACUUUUCACAAUUAUCAUAAUUCUAGAAUUCAUAACAUUGUGGGUUGUGAGGAAAAGGAAACAAAGCAGAGCUUAGUCACUUGAAAUGGACCAGCACCAGGAUCAAAGUGCAAGUGUUAUUGAGAGGCACUAAAAGGUGUUGUCCAGUUCGAAGGAAACGAAACAAAACAGAGUUCAGUUAACUGAGUUGUACAUGAACAUUGCGGGGCAAGAGGUGUUAAACCAGCGCCAUGAUACCAAAGUGCCCCUGGAGUUGUAUCAUACUGUAUUUCACAUACAAGUACUUUUCACCUGAGUUUUUGAGGGACUGCCAACCAGAAAUGAUUAGCAAAUCAACUGGUCUUGGAUUUCAUAUACGAAAUUGCUCUGCAUAUGACUUUAAAUAUACGAUCCACGUCCGACCUAGUGAUCCCACCAUUGCCAUUGAUGCAGAGAUUUGAUCAGAGGGUGACUGAGCAGUGUCGUACAAGAAUUCAUCGUACGCUAGCACUGCUCUUUCAUAUAAAACGACAGAAAUAUUAUUACAUACUAUAACUUCACUCAACUGAUCAUGUAAGAAUCCAUUUUAAUGUAUUGGUUGCAACGGUAUCUUGAAUUUAGUGCCCGUCGGCAUGCUCAGCUAGGUGCUAUGCCUAAGGUCCUUAAUCAAACACAAACUAUACUUUGGUUCUCUCACAUGAUUUCCAUCGUCGUCGCUGCCUUAACUUCACCGGCGAUGAAGAACUCAAAGACCACACGGGACACGGACUGGACACACGGAUCCGGGGUGUGACGCCCCCGAUUCAAUCGUACAUUAAUCAUGCACGCAAAUGUGUACGAUCAAGAUCAGGGACUCAUGGGAAGAUAUCACAACACAACUCUAAAACAUAAAUAAGUCAUACAAGCAUCAUAAUACAAGCCAGGGGCCUCGAGGGCUCGAAUACAAGUGCUCGAUCAUAGACGAGUCAGCGGAAGCAACAAUAUCUGAGUAUAGACAUAAGUUAAACAAGUUUGCCUUAAGAAGGCUAGCACAAACUGGGAUACAGAUCGAAAGAGGCGCAGGCCUCCUGCCUGGGAUCCUCCUAAACUACUCCUGGUCAUCGCCAGCGGGCUGCACGUAGUAGUAGGCACCUCCAGAGUAGUAGUCGUCGUAGCCGAAGGUGGCAUCUGGAUCCUGGGCUCCAACGUCUGGUUGCGGCAUCCGAGAAGAAGAGGAAAACGAGGGAAAAGAGGGAGCAAAGCAACCGUGAGUACUCAUCCAAAGUACUCGCAAGCAAGGAGCUAUACUACAUAUGCAUGGGUAUAUGUGUAAGGAGGCAAUAUGAGUGGACUGAACUGCAGAAUGCCAGAAUAAGAGGGGGAUAGCUAGUCCUAUCGAAGACUACGCUUCUGGCAGCCUCCGUCUUGCAGCAUGUAGAAGAGAGUAGAUUGAAGUCCUCCAAGUAGCAUCUCCAAGUAGCAUCUCCAGUAGCAUCGCAUAGCAUAAUCCUACCCGGCGAUCCCCUCCUCGUCGCCCUGUAGAAAAGCGAUCACCGGGUUGUCUGUGGAACUUGGAUGGGUGUGUUUUAUUAAGUAUCUGAUUCUAGUUGUCAUAAGGUCAAGGUACAACUCCAAGUCGUCUUGUUACCGAAGAUCACGGCUAUUCGAAUAGAUUAACUUCCCUGCAGGGGUGCACCAACUUACCCAACACGCUUGAUCCCAUUUGGCCGGACACACUUUCCUGGGUCAUGCCCGGCCUCCGAAGAUCAACACGUCGCAGCCCCACCUAGGCAAAACAGAGAGGCCAGCACGCCGGUCUAAACCUAAGCGCACAGGGGUCUGGGCCCAUCGCCCAUAGCACACCUGCACGUUGUGAGGGCGGCCGGAAGCAGAACUAGCCCCCUUAAUACAAGAGCAGGCUUACGUUCCAAUCCGGCGUGCGCCGCUCCGUCGCUGACGUCUGAAGUGCUUCGGCUCAUACCACGACGUCGGGAUACCCAUAACUACUACCACGUAGGUGGUUAGUGCGUAUAGGCUCGUAGCCAACUCAGAUCAAAUACCAAGAUCUCGUUAAGCGUGUUAAAUAUCCGCGAACGCCGAACAGGGCCAGGCCCACCUCUCUCCUAGGUGGUCUCAACCUGCCCUGUCGCUCCGCCACAAAGAUCCACACAGAGGGCCGUCGGGACAAAGGUCCUUUCAGCCCCCAAUCCGUGAAUCACUCACGGGUACUCUUCGAGCUGACCCGACUUUAGUCACCAUCUAUAUAGUAUGUAUGUAUAGUAUAGUAUAUACCCGUGAUCACCUCCCGAGUGAUCACGGCCCAAUAGUAUAACAAGGCAGACCGACAAGAAUGUAGGGCCAAUAAUGAUAAACUAGCAUCCUAUACUAAGUAUUUAGGAUUGCAGGUAAGGUAUCAACAGAUGUAGCAACAAUGUCAGGCUAUGCAUCAGAAUAGGAUUAACGGAAAGCAGUAACAUGCUACACUACUCUAAUGCAAGCAGUAUAGAGAAGAGUAGGCGAUAUCUGGUGAUCAAGGGGGGGGGGCUUGCCUGGUUGCUCUGGCAAGAGAGAGGGGUCGUCAACUCCGUAGUCGAACUGGGCAGCAGCAGCGUCGGACUCGGUGUCUAGCGGAAGAAGAGGGGGAAGAAACAAUGAAUACAAUGCAAACAGAUGCAUGACGAUGCAUGACAUGACAAGUAUCGAUGCUAGGUGUGCCCAAUCGCGGUAGUAGGUGAUACCGACGAAGGGGGAAAACAUCCGGGAAAGUAUUCCCGGUGUUUUACGUUUUCGGAUAGAUGAACCGGAGGGGGAAAGUUGCGAUUCCGAUAGGUUAGGGAUGUGUGGCAGAUGAACGGGCUGCGUAUCCGGGUUCGUCUCGUCGUUCUGAGCAACUUUCAUGUAGAAAGUAUUUUCAUCCGAGUUACGGAUUAAAAGAUAUGAUUUUCUAAAGAUUUAAUUAUUUUCUAGAAUUUAUUUAAUUAAUUUAAACCAACAUUAUCCAUAAUAGUAUGAGAUGACGUCAUCAUGACGUAUGUGUGAUGUCAGCAGUCAACAGUGCGGUUGACUAGAGUCAAAAAUGACUGUGGGUCUAGUGGGACCCACCUGUCAUUGAGAAAGAGGUGAAAUGGGAUUUGUUUUAAACUAAUUUAGAAUUAACUAAGUGUGGGCCCCAUUAGUCAGUGACUAAUUAGCCCAGAUUAAUUAGAUUAACUAAUUUAAUUAGCUUAAAGAUGGGGGGGCCACUGGUCAGCUGCUGGGACCAGCCCAGUCAGCAAGUUGACUCAGUCAACUGAUCAACAAGGGGCCUUGGGCCCACCAGUCAGUGGCCCAGGCGGUGCCACGCGGGUGCCACGUCGGUGACGUCGCCGGAAUCACGCCGGCGACCAUUUCCGCGGCGGAAGUUCGCCGGAGUUGCACGGAUUUCCAGCACAGUGCACCAGUCCGCGCAUUUUCGGUGGCGUUCGAACGAGUAGAUCGUCCCGCGUCGAUCUAGGGUGAUCCCAGGUGCGGGGGUGGCCGGAGUGGAGCUCAACGACGACCGCGGGCGGCGCCGGAAUACGGGCAUCUCCGAAAACCAUGCUACGGGCUGCGUUCUAGUUGACAAACGGCGCUAGCGGGCUCUACGGACCUCCGGCAACUCGACGGAGGCCACGGCUUGGCUCGGAGAUGGACGGGGUGAGCGCAAUGAGCUCGCGGACGAGGCCGCAUGCGGCAAUGGCGACGGCAGCACCGCGAGCCAUCUACGGUGCAUGAGGAGGAACCAGAGGAAGGAGGAGGGUGCGGAGGCUUACGUCGCGGCACACGGAGGCCCUCGAGUGAACGGAAGCGCAGAGGGAUGUCGCCGGAGUUGGUGAAGAACGCGGCAGCCGAAGAUGUGGACGAAGGGGAUCCGGUGAUUCAUGGCUCCCCCGCUCCAGCUGAGGCCUCCGGUGGACGAGGAAGACGAUGGAGGCGUCGACGGACACGCAGGCGCGGCGAGGCGGUGACUGUGGCCACGCGGUUCACGGCGGCGAGGCCAUGGCAGCGCUCGGUUGCAGUGGGGAACGAGGGGGAGAUGGAUCUGGAGGGGAGAGGGAGAGGCGCGGGGGCCGAGGGCGAGCGUGGGGGCGAGCGGGAGGUGGGAUCGAGGAGGCGAGGGGGGGUGCUGGCGAUCUUAUCCCCCCAUCGUCGCCGGCGAGAGGGUGCGGCGGGGACGCGCCCCUGUUCCGACCCGGGUCGGGGGAACAGAGAAAGGAGGCGGCAGGGGGAGGCGGGCCGGUUCGGCCGGAUGGGCCAGGAGGCAGGGGCUGUGGCUAGCUGGGCCUUUCGGCCCAGGGGGGAAGGGGGAGGGGUUUCUUCUUUUUCCCUUUUGUAUUUUCUUUAUUAUUUCUUUUCUGUUUAAAUUCAUUUAAAAGUAUUUAGGCAUUUUAUAAAAAUGUGUUUACUUCACCAUAAUUACCGAUGCAAUAUUUGGCAACCCCCGAACAUUUUUGUGUUGACUUUUGAAAACUUUGGGUGUUUGUCGCUAAUUCAUUUUUUUUAAAUUGCUAUGUUUUUGAACUACCACUUAAUUAGCAACAGUAACAUAGAUGACAUGGCAUCAUCAAGAGAGUUUUACUGUAGCCUAAUUAUCCGGGCGUUACAAAUCUCCUCCACUACAAGAAAUCUCGUCCCGAGAUUUAGGAGGUAGAAGGAAACAGUGCGGGGUAUUCUUCACGCAGGCGAUCCUCUUGUUCCCAAGUGGCUUCAUCUUCAGAAUGGUGCGACCACUGAACUUUGAGGAACUUGAUCGCCUUCUGGCGUGUGCGGCGUUCAGCUUGGUCGAGAAUGCGGACCGGAUGCUCUUUAUAGGAGAGGUCCUGUUGCAAUUCAAGCACUUCAUGGUCCACUGCUCGGAUUGGGUCCUUGAUGCAGCGACGGAGCUGCGACACGUGGAACACAUCGUGAACCUGAGAAAGGUUCGACGGAAGCUCCAGUUGAUAUGCCACUUUUCCACGCCUUUCCAGAAUAGUGAAUGGGCCAAUAUAGCGAGGAGCUAGCUUGCCCUUGAUCCCGAAGCGGUGAGCACCCUUCAUUGGUGUAACUCGAAGAUAGGCCUUUUCGCCAGGUAGAUAGACCAUGUCUUUAUGAUGACGGUCAUACUGACUCUUCUGACGUGACUGAGCAGUCUUGAGAUGCUCGCGAAUAAUGCGGACUUGUUCUUCAGCAUGUUGGAUAAUAUCCGGACCGAAGAGUGGACGUUCCCCAGUUUCUGACCAGUUCAGAGGGGUUCGGCACUUUCGUCCAUAUAACACUUUGAAGGGGGCCAUCUUCAGACUAGCUUGAUAGCUAUUAUUAUAAGAGAACUCAGCAUACGGGAGAGAUUCCUCCCAUUUCUUGCCGAAGGAAAUAACACAAGCUCGAAGCAUGUCUUCGAGAAUUUGGUUUACACGUUCAACUUGCCCUUGCGACUGCGGAUGAAACGCAGUACUGAGUGACAGGUGAGUUCCCAUAGCUUCUUGGAAACUUGCCCAGAAUCUUGAAGUGAAUAAACUGCCACGGUCUGAACUGAUAACCAGUGGAAUACCGUGAAGCGAAACAAUUCUGGACAUGUAGAGAGUUGCAAGCUGACUAGCAGUGAUCGUUUCUUUGACCGCCAGAAAAUGUGCAACCUUAGAAAGUCGGUCAAUGACGACAAGAAUAGCAUCAUUACCCUUUUGUGAUUUGGGAAAUCCAGUAACGAAGUCCAUCUCGACAUGGUCCCAUUUCCAUUCAGGAAUAGAUAUAGGUUGCAGAGUUCCAGCAGGCCUUUGAUGUUCUGCUUUGAUACGACGGCAAACGUCACAUUCAGCAACAUAACGAGCAAUGUCUUGCUUCAUGUUAGACCACCAGAAUCUCUGGCGGAUGUCUUGGUACAUCUUUGUACUACCAGGAUGGAUACAUAGAGGCGUAUCAUGAGCUUCUUUCAUAACCUCCUGAGUCAUAUUCAGGUUUUCCUUCUUACACGGCACCACUAGGCGGCCUUUGAAGUACAAGGCGCCAUCAUCAGCAAUAGUGAAGAAUGAUGGCUUUCCUUCUUUGAGGUCGCGCUUAAUCUUGUGGACUUCAGAGUCAUAUCCCUGUAAUGUCUUGAUGGAGCUCACGAGAUCGGGUUCGACAGCCAGGGUAUAGAGGGAACCCUUGGAAACAACACGGAGAUUCAUCUUGUGAGACUCCUCAGGAGGGGGAGCGAGUGCACCCGGAGGAACAAUAUGGAGGUUCAGCUUUCUGAAUUCUUCAACAAGUGAGGGCUGAACUUUGUGAAUCUGGAGGUGGUUGCAGUAAGACUUGCGGCUUAAAGCAUCAGCCAUUACAUUAGCCUUGCCUGGGGUAUAGGAAAUACCCAAAUCAAAGUCUACAACAGUCUCCAUCCAUCUCUGCUAACGGAGAUUCAGGUCUGGCUGAGUAAACCGAUACUUCAGACUUUGGUGGUCAGUGAAGAUCUCACAACGAUUACCGAGUAGGUAAUGUCGCCACUGUUUUAGCGCAUGAAUGACAGCAGCAAGUUUGAGGUCGUGAACUGGAUAGUUCUCUUCGUGAGGGCGCAAUUGCCGAGAGGCAUAAGCAACCACUUUGCGCUCUUGCAUUAGGACACAGCCUAAUCCUUGACGGGAAGCGUCGCAGUAAAUGACGAAGUCCUUCUUAGUAUCAGGAGGAGCUAGUACUGGGGCAGAAGUCAACUUGUCUUUGAGUGCCUGGAAACUUUCCUGACAUUUAUCUGUCCAUUGGAACUUGACGCCCUUAUGCAACAGGUUAGUCAGAGGCCUGGCAAUCUUGGAGAAGUUCUCGACGAAUCGACGGCAAUAGCUGGCGAGACCGAGAAAACUUCUGACUUGCUUGACAUUCUUCGGAGGAGUCCAAUCGAGAAUAGCCUGAACUCGUUCAGGGUUGACGGCAAUACCAUCCUUAGAGAUGACAUGCCCGAGAUAGGUUACUUCGGGAAGCCAGAAUUCACACUUGGAGAACUUGGCAUAUAGCUGAUGCUCUCGCAGCUUUUCCAGCACAAGACGAAGAUGUUCAGCAUGUUCUUCUUCAUUCUUGGAAAAUAUCAGGAUAUCAUCCAGAUAAACCACGACGAACUUGUCGAGGUAAUCCAUGAAUAUAUAGUUCAUCAGGCGAGAGAAGGUGGCUGGAGCAUUGGUUAAGCCGAAAGACAUGACUGUGUACUCGUAUGAACCAUAACGAGUCACAAAGGCGAUCUUGGGGAUAUCCUCCUCACGAACACGGAUCUGGUGGUAACCCAAUCUCAAGUCGAGUUUAGAGAACACUGAUGAACCAGCCAGUUGAUCAUACAGAUCAUUGAUCCGAGGAAGAGGAUACUUAUUCUGAAUGGUAGCUUGAUUUAUAGGACAGUAGUCUUGGACCAAUCGGUUUGUCCCAUCCUUCUUCUUGACAAAGAGAGAAGGUGCUCCCCAAGGAGAGCAACUUGGGAGAAUGAAACCACUGCGAAGAGACUUGUCGAUUUCCUCCUUAAGCUCAAGGAGUUCAUGCGGCGGCAUCUUGUAGGGUCACUUGGCUAUAGGAGUGGUGCCUGGUUUCAAAUCGAUGAUGAAUUCGACAGCCCUAGCAGGGGGAAUCCCUGGAAGUUCUUCAGGAAAGACGUCGAGGAAUUCACGCACGACAGGAAUGUUUUCAAUACCCUCGAGUGAUGCAGCGUUCAAUGCAUUCAAUGCAUAGAGCCUUGCCUCGGCAUUUUGCACCAGAUGAGCUCGGUAAGUGACUAUUUCAUCGGAAGGGUGUAGCAGAUGAACGGUCUUAGUGGCGCAAACUAUAGAGGCAGUAUGCGCAUUUAACCAAUUCAUUCCCAGAAUGAGGUCAAUGCUACAAGACUUCAGUACGAUGGGUGAGACAAGGAAUUCCAGUCCUUCGAUUUCAACGGGGACGUCGUUGCAAAUCAUGGAGGUUCGACAUUGGCCCGCAGGGGUGUGUACUAAUAGUGAAGCAUUCAUGUCUUCACUUUUAAUGCCAUGCAUGAAUGCGAAAUCUUCAGACAUGAAUGAAUGUGAUGCACCAGUAUCAAAUAAAACGGAUGCUGGUACUGAAUUUACGAGGAGUGUACCCAUCACAGUAGCAGGCUGGUCUUGAGCUUCAUUUAGAUCAACAUGGUUGGCAUGAACACGGCCAUAAGACUUGGCAUUGUUAUUGCGGGUCUGGUUGUUUCCACGGCCAGCGGCUGGAAGGGCCAGUUGAUUCUGAUUCUGAAUGCAAUCCCUAGCACGGUGACCUGGUUGACCACACUUGUAGCACAGGCCAUUAUUGGGAGUGGGAACAUGAGCUUGGGGUGGCGGAGCUGGAAGCCUUGGCUGCCUAGUUGGAGCAGUAGGCAGACGAGGUGCAGCGUAGGACUGCCUUGGGGCUGGUGCAUUUGGACGGUACAUGCUGUUCGGGAUCCAUAUCUUACGCUUCUGCGAGGGCGGGCCCGAAGAUGAGCCCGUGUCACGAUUGCGCCUUUGAGAGCUCUGGUGUUCCUGCAGACCAGUCUCGACAUUGAUGGCCUUAUUCACCAAGGUGGCGAAAUCGGUAAAUUCAUGCACCAGAAGUGCGAGCUUGAUGUCAGCUUGAAGGCCGUCACGGAACUUCUCCUGUCUACGUGCAUCAGUUGCAAUGUCUUCUUCGGCAUAGCGGGAUAAGUCCAGAAAUUCCCGCUGAUAAGCUUCCACAGUUUUGUUGCCCUGGGUGAGGUUGCGGAACUCACGCUUCUUCCUGUCCAUGAUCCCCUGAGGAAUGAAGCGGGCACGGAAGGCAGCCUGAAAGUCUGGCCAGGUGAUGAUUGUCCCAACUGGCAGAGUACGCCUGUGGCUGUCCCAUCAUUGAGCUGUGGGUCCCUUCAGAAAGAAGGAAGCAAAGGUGACAUAGCGGGCCGGGGCUACUUCAGCAGACUCCAUCUCAUAGGUGAUGUCACGGAGCCAGUCAUCAGCAUCCAGCGGCUGAGUUGAGCUGCGGUACACGGUUGGGUUGAGGCGCAUGAAAUCCUGCAGAGUUACGUGGGCUGGCUGCUCAUUCAUAUUGGGACGAGGGAACUGAGCCAUCACAUUCUCCAUGAACUGGCGAUUCAUCUCGAGCUGUUGGACCAUACCAGCCAUGUACUCAGGUGGUGGUGGGGCGUUGCCGCCACGACCACGACCAGCUGGUCUAACCAUCCUGUUAAUAUAUAACAGGGGUAGUUCAGUAUUGAGAAAUUUGCAUAGACAAGAGUCAUUCAUGAUGAAACAUGCAUAAUGAAAAGAGCACGACAGAUACCACAUAGCUAGUCGGCAUAACUUACAAAAGGGGUCGGACAUAGAGUUCAGUACACAGAGUUCAGUACACAGAGUUUAGUACAUAGACUAAGUCAUCAUAGGCGGCACGCAGGCUUGCGAAUGCAUCUAAUACUAAUGAGCAAGACUACAUCAGCCCCAGGAGGUACUGUGAAGGUAGCUGUAGCCUGACAGCUGGUAGUGAGGCAACGGAUAGUCCUCCACGUUAGUGGCCUGGGGGCCGCGGAUACUCUGGUGUAGAACCCGACGCUCAGGUGGCAGAAGAGGACCAAGUGCGGGAGAGUAACCUCCCACCUCUGGCCAUCCGACACCAUGGGGCAUCACGGUCCUGGCUGGGUAGAUCGCAGAACGCGGCAGCUGUCCAGACCGCACAAAGGGGUGCAGCAGCGUCAGAGCCCUGUAAAGGUGCUGACGAGUGGUGUACAACUCGUGGCGAAGAGCUCUGUUAGCUCGGUCCAGCCCAUCAGCAUGCAGAACCAGGCGCUGAUGGUGGAAGGGCUCUCGGGUGACGGUGGAGUAGGCGGCAGUGUAGUAUCCCUCCGCACCAACGUCAGAUGCGAUAGGAAUGUGUCUGAAAGGGGAAGUGUCCAACGCCUGAUACUCUCCACGAAGACGUGUUAGAGCAGCAUGAGCAGCAUCGUGUACUGCCAUCUCGAUGGUCACUCCAACACCAUGAGCGGUGUGUAGCACGGUAGUGGACUCAUACUCCCGAGAGUAGAGGUGGACGAUGGCACGAUACUGCUCCUGAUUAAAGUCCUGGUACUCCUCGUAGACGGUGUACUCAGGGUGCCAGCGAUAACCCAGAUAGGUCAUCAUAUCAGCUAGCACAGCAGGUGAUCCUGAGGCACCAAUGGCCACAGUGUGGCGCACGACCUGCCUCGUGGGUUCCAUCUGAAAACAAAGAUGUUUCAAUGGAGUCAAAUGACAGUGUGGAAAUCGUCCAAAAUACUAUUCCAAAGAAUACUAUGGAUUUAUCCAACUUUGGGUGAAUGGGGUCACGGGAUCCUAGUGAUAGUUAGUAAAUUCGUUUGACCCGAGUAGAAAAGAGUUCAGAGUCCCAGAGUAAAGGUCGAGGAGUAAAAGAUCCUAGUACCACCCGAUGGUGACGUGGGCCCAUAAGGCACACAGCCAAGUUAGUAAAAGUUUUUGUAAUGUCUAGACUCGACUUCGGCCAAGGAGUGUGGAAGGGGGAUUCCUACAGGCAGUCGGCUCUGAUACCAACUUGUGACGCCCCCGAUUCAAUCGUACACUAAUCAUGCACGCAAACGUGUAUGAUCAAGAUCAGGGACUCACGGGAAGAUAUCACAACACAACUCUAAAACAUAAAUAAGUCAUACAAGCAUCAUAAUACAAGCCAGGGGCCUCGAGGGCUCGAAUACAAGUGCUCGAUCAUAGAUGAGUCAGCGGAAGCAACAAUAUCUGAGUACAGACAUAAGUUAAACAAGUUUGCCUUAAGAAGGCUAGCACAAACUGGGAUACAGAUCGAAAGAGGCGCAGGCCUCCUGCCUGGGAUCCUCCUAAACUACUCCUGGUCGUCGCCAGCGGGCUGCACGUAGUAGUAGGCACCUCCAGAGUAGUAGUCGUCGUAGCCGAAGGUGGCAUCUGGAUCCUGGGCUCCAACGUCUGGUUGCGGCAUCCGAGAAGAAGAGGAAAACAAGGGAAAAGAGGGAGCAAAGCAACCGUGAGUACUCAUCCAAAGUACUCGCAAGCAAGGAGCUACACUAUAUAUGCAUGGGUAUAUGUGUAAGGAGGCAAUAUGAGUGGACUGAACUGCAGAAUGCCAGAAUAAGAGGGGGAUAGCUAGUCCUAUCGAAGACUACGCUUCUGGCAGCCUCCGUCUUGCAGCAUGUAGAAGAGAGUAGAUUGAAGUCCUCUAAGUAGCAUCUCCAAGUAGCAUCUCCAGUAGCAUCACAUAGCAUAAUCCUACCCGGCGAUCCCCUCCUCGUCGACCUGUAGAAAAGCGAUCACCGGGUUGUCUGUGGAACUUGGAAGGGUGUGUUUUAUUAAGUAUCCGGUUCUAGUUGUCAUAAGGUCAAGGUACAACUCCAAGUCGUCCUGUUACCGAAGAUCACGGCUAUUCGAAUAGAUUAACUUCCCUGCAGGGGUGCACCAACUUACCCAACAUGCUUGAUCCCAUUUGGCCGGACACACUUUCCUGGGUCAUGCCCGGCCUCGGAAGAUCAACACGUCGCAGCCCCACCUACGCAAAACAGAGAGGCCAGCACGCCGGUCUAAACCUAAGCGCACAUGGGUCUGGGCCCAUCGCCCAUAGCACACCUGCACGUUGCGAGGGCGGCCGGAAGCAGAACUAGCCCCCUUAAUACAAGAGCAGGCUUACGUUCCAAUCCGGCGCGCGCCGCUCCGUCGCUGACGUCUGAAGUGCUUCGGCUGAUACCACGACGCCGGGAUACCCAUAACUACUCCCACGUAGAUGGUUAGUGCGUAUAGGCUCGUAGCCAACUCAGAUCAAAUACUAAGAUCUCGUUAAGCGUGUUAAAUAUCCGCGAACGCCGAACAGGGCCAGGCCCACCUCUCUCCUAGGUGGUCUCAACCUGCCCUGUCGCUCCGCCACAAAGAUCCACACAGAGGGCCGUCGGGACAAAGGUCCUUUCAGCCCCCAAUCCGUGAAUCACUCGCGGGUACUCUUCGAGCUAACCCGACUUUAGUCACCAUCUGUAUAGUAUGUAUGUAUGUAUAGUAUAUACCCGUGAUCACCUCCCGAGUGAUCACGGCCCAAUAGUAUAGCAAGGCAGACCGACAAGAAUGUAGGGCCAAUAAUGAUAAACUAGCAUCCUAUACUAAGUAUUUAGGAUUGCAGGUAAGGUAUCAACAGAUGUAGCAACAUCAGGCUAUGCAUCAGAAUAGGAUUAACGGAAAGCAGUAACAUGCUACACUACUCUAAUGCAAGCAGUAUAGAGAAGAGUAGGCGAUAUCUGGUGAUCAAGGGGGGGGCUUGCCUGGUUGCUCUGGCAAGAGAGAGGGGUCGUCAACUCCGUAGUCGAACUGGGCAGCAGCAACGUCGGACUCGGUGUCUAGGGGAAGAAGAGGGGGAAGAAACAAUGAAUACAAUGCAAACAGAUGCAUGACGAUGCAUGACAUGACAAGUAUCGAUGCUAGGUGUGCCCAAUCGCGGUAGUAGGUGAUACCGACGAAGGGGGAAAACAUCCGGGAAAGUAUUCCCGGUGUUUUACGUUUUCGGACAGAUGAACCGGAGGGGGAAAGUUGCGAUUCCGAUAGGUUAGGGAUGUGUGGCAGACGAACGGGCUGCGUAUCCGGGUUCGUCUCGUCGUUCUGAGCAACUUUCAUGUAGAAAGUAUUUUCAUCCGAGUUACGGAUUAAAAGAUAUGAUUUUCUAAAGAUUUAAUCAUUUUCUUUAUUAUUUCCCUUUUGUAUUUUCUUUAUUAUUUCUUUUCUGUUUAAAUUCAUUUAAAAGUAUUUAGGCAUUUUAUAAAAAUGUGUUUACUUCACCAUAAUUACCGAUGCAAUAUUUGGCAACCCCCGAACAUUUUUGUGUUGACUUUUGAAAACUUUGGGUGUUUGUCGCUAAUUCAUUUUUUUUAAAUUGCUAUGUUUUUGAACUACCACUUAAUUAGCAACAGUAACAUAGAUGACAUGGCAUCAUCAAGAGAGUUUUACUGUAGCCUAAUUAUCCGGGCGUUACACGGGGUUCCCGAAGAUCGAUCUUUUGUAUUUUUGCCAAUUUCAUGCUAUAGCUGAGCUUGUGAACCCAAGCAAAUUUCUCUCCAAAAUGCAGCAUUUCUAACAUUGUCUAUGCUACUCUUUUCUGCGGAUAGUUGUCUAUACUACUGACUCAAAUUGGCUAAUUUUGACUGAUCAGUUGCAAAAUCCUUUGAGUUUGUUUGAUUCAUCUCUGAAAUAAGUUAUACAUAUCAUUUCAACUCAAUUCACUUAUAUUCCUUAUUUUGUUCCAACUACACUUGUGUUUACAAAAUGACUGAACUAUUUACAAGAAAAAGGGGCACCUUGCCUAUAUCCGUGAAUCUAACAAGAUAUUCUUGGAACCAACAGGCAUAUCAAGAUCAAUGUUACUGAAUUCAAGCAAGUAAAUUAAACUACACUUAAGUAAGAAUGGAGGUGGAAGAAUGAAACUUCCACUAAAAAUCUUCAUAAUGUGUUACUAUGCUUUGAAAACUCACUCAAACCUAAGUAGACCGUCUGUUGGAACUUUCCUUCUGUAUACAAAUCCUUUUUCAAACAAGGAUCACUGCAUAAAAGUAGAGCGGGGCAAGCUAUGAAUUUUCAGUAUUGGAUUCCAUAAUGAUUUAGCAAGAUUCCGUAACAUGCACCACCAGGAUAAAUAGUUAGAGCGGGUGCAUUUUUGUAUAUGCCUUAAUUCGUACUUUGUGGUUCAAAUAAUAUAAUUGGGACAAAAUAAGUUGCUCCAUUGCCAAAGCUGGGUGGACCAGAGACUUUUCUUCUAAGAUUUCGCAAAUGGCGGCUUGAAACAAAUUAAAUAUCACAACAGCUAGCAUAUGCAAAAGUAUUCAUGCCCAUAGCAUACAACAUACUAAAAACCACAGGCCGCUUCUCACCGCCAAAGCUAGUGAUAGCAGUUGGCAACAUGCCAAUAUAGUAUAGCACUGAAAUGCCCCAAAACCACAGGCUACUUCUGACCAUGACGAAACCAGUUAGCAGUUGGCAACAUGGCACUGAAAUAUCCAUGAAAAACCAUCUGCUAAGUAGCCUAUUUAAACAGCACACACCUGCUCCACAUUCCCUCAGAGCCAUACCAGAACACAACUUUGCCACAUCCACAUCCUGAGAAACAACAUGAGUGUAGAAAUCCUUGAUGGCAAGACCGUCCAGAGCUUCGUCGAGGACGAAGGCGCCUUCAACUCAUCGGUGGAUGGGCGGUUUGCGGCCCUCGACACCAACCAUGAUGGCCUGCUGUCAUACUCCGAGAUGGCCCAGGAGCUGAUGAGCCUCAGGGUUCUUGAGAAGCACUUUGGCGUUGACGAGUCCGCCAUGAGCCAUGGUGAGCUUGUCGAGCUUUACCGUGGUCUGUUUGCGAGGUUCGACCGAGACGGCAAUGGCACGGUGGACCUUGAGGAGUUCCGGGCUGAGAUGAAGGAGGUGAUGCUCGCUGUGGCUAACGGGCUCGGCUUCCUGCCGGUGCAGAUGGUGGUCGAGGAAGGAAGCUUUCUGAAGGUGGCUGUGGACCGGGAGCUGGCCAAAGCAACUUGAAGAAACUGCUUGGAACGACUUUUCAGAAUCAGGAGGCUGCAUGUUCACGAAUUGUAACUUUUAUACUGCCAAUUUUGUUGUGUUACAACUAUACCGGUGCUAGUUAUUUGUACUUAAUAAGUGAAACAGAAGCCACAGCAUCAGUUUAAUUGACAAAAUGACAAGCUAGUUAUGUAAAGGGAAAUGUUGUGAAUCUAUGUUUGUGGAUGCCUACAUGAGAAAUAUCAAACUAGCAGUUUUAGAAUUUGGGUGUUUUGUUCUCACACCAGAAUCUGAUUAUGUUAUGACGACUGAAAAUUCAGAAAUAAUAUGUUCAGAACAGUCACCAAGAAGAAUCAGAUUAACACAAACUGAAUCAACCGCGUAUAUCGAAAUUCAAGAAAGUACAUUUCAAUUCAACACCUCAUGUUAGUACAAAGAGAAGUUCACAGAGUUUUGUUACAAAGAAAUUAACUGAAGAAAAGUAUGUAUCGGUUGCAGAAUUGGUAGCAACUUUACAUUACCAGCACCAGAGCUAACACUGUCAGAAUAGCUCAUCAACUGAUAUUGUGUUGUCUUCCGUCUGAUUCAUCUGCUACUCACAUGCCUCAUGCAUAUUUUACACAAGAUGCCGUUUCUAGACCUGCAGAAUGUAAGCCAUUGGACGAAAGAAGAACCCAUGCUGCCCUUUCUGAAUGAAGUUUAACACCUCCCAAAAUGUUCUUUUGCUAAUAGAGCAAUCCUGAUGUCCAAUUUGGCACCUGCAAAUUUAGGUAUAACAUACACCGCCAGCAAUCCAGAUUCUGGAUAACUACUUCGAAAACUUGAAGAACUGUUAGAUAAUGGCAACGAAAACCCGAGCCAUAUACUGCUAAUACUGCUGUUGCGGCAUUGUCCGAAACGCCAAUACGAUCGCAACCCAUGAGCUCAAUCCUUCUUCUCCUCGAGCUCACCUUCGAAAGCAUCAUCAUUGUUCUCCAAUGGAGAAUCUUUGAUCUCCAGUGACCUCACGAAGUUAAAGUAGGCGUACUUGAUGUCAAACUGCAUGUCAUACCAGUAGUUGACGGCAAUGUUGAGCUCGUUAGGCCCGGGGCUCUGGCUGACAUGGUGAAACCACAUGCUCGGCAAGUAGAGCAUCUCGCCGGCGCGGACGGUGCAACGAAUCGGCCUGGGACCCUUGAAGUAGAGCGGGCAGGCUGAGACCUGCGCCGCCAUCUCCUCCGGCGACGCCGGGUACGGGUCCGCUGCUCCACGGCACGACCCUCUCGGGCUCUUCCAUCUCCAGCUUGAGCUCCGGCACCUCCUCCCCUUCCUCCACCGGGACGUAGCCGGCGGCGGGGUAGUCGCGGACGUGGAGGCGGUGGUGCUCGGUGGGGGGCAGGAGGAGGAAAUGCUUCUCGCCGGAGAGGACGACGUAGAUGUUGUCGUAGUGGUCCUUGUGGAAGGAGGUGACGGAGCAGGCGUUGCCGAUCCAGAGGUUGACGGCCUCGGGGAGGCAGCCGAGCGCCUCGCUGGCCCAGGGCACGUGCGCGUCCACGUCGCCGGCCACCGCCGCGUACUCCCCGCGCAGGCAGUCGUCCUGCUGCUGCGCGUACGCCACCAGGCCGGCGGCCGGGUCGGAGUCCCUGAUGAGUCGCACGGCGGCGGGGAAGUCGACCCGGCGGACGUGCGCCGACGCGAAGCACCUGGCGCCGGGACGGCGCGGGUGCGCGGCGAGGGCGUCAGCGCGGCCGUCGGGGGUGAGGUGGACGGAGACGUCGGUGGAGCGGAGCGCGUCCGGGAGGUAGGAUUCGGUGGGCCAGAGCGAGGCGGCGGGCCAGUGGCGGGUGGCGGCGGCGGAGACGAGGAGCGGGCGGCCCGGGGAGACGUGGUCGCGGAGGAAGGCGAGCGGGGUCGGGGGCAGGUCGGCGCGCGCCACGGCGUCCGGGGAGUGGAGGCCCAGCAGCUCGCGCGACUCCGCCCACAGCUCCCGCACGCCGCGCUCCAUCUCUCAGGCUGCGCCGCUGGUUUCGCGAAUUCUGGCGGCGGCGGCGGCGGCGGCACGGCGGCUCAACGCGCGCCGAACCAAGGGACUGGCAGGCGAGCUGGCCCACUGGGGAUACGGGCCAGACCUAUGGCUAUGGGCUACGGCCCUGGUUUCGUAACUUCUUUAUGGGCUGUAAUCAUGUGGACGUAAAGUUGCAAGGCCUUCGACCCCGUUGCAUCCUUGUGAACGCAGGUGAUUAAUAGCAACGCGAACCCUUUUAGAACCAGUAUAUAGCCGCGUCGCAAAGGCUUUUGAGUUAUUUGAAAAUAAUUUGGGAAUACUUGAUUUUUAUUUGAAAAAAGAUUCACCAAUUUUGGAAGAAAGUUCAUCCAUUUGGGAAAAAAGUUCGUCAAAUGUGAAAAAAGUUCACUGAAUUUGAAAAAAACUUCACUGGGUUUGAAAAAUACUUCAUCGGAUUUGAAAAAACUUCACUGAUUCCGAAAAAAAGUUCAUCCAUUUAGGGAAAAAAGUUUGUUGGAUUUGAAAAAAGUUCAGCAAUUUUGAAAAAAGUUCACCGGUUUUGAAAAAAAGUCCAUCUCUAUGGGAAAAAAGUUCAUCGGAUUAGAAAAAAGUUCACGAGUUUGGAGAAAAAAACUCGUUGACGUUCAAAUAAAUCUCGAUUUUGAAUAAAAAUUUCAUCAAAUUUGAGAAAAAGUUCAUCAAAGUUAAAAAUGUUCAUCCAAUUUGAAUUAGUUUGUGCAUAAAAGUUAAAGAAAAAGGAAAAGAAAAUAUGAAAGAAAAGAAACGGAAAAAACAGGAACAAAAAACAGUCCGAAAAAACACACAACAAGAAAGAAAGUAAAAAAGGCUGGCAAAGUAUAAAAGAUGAAAAGGAAGGGAAUUGCCCAUGAGGUGUUGUCUUUCCCGGUUCGCUGAUGCGAGUGGAACUUACACUAUAGGUCACGGGUUUGAAUCUCUCCAGCACUCAUUUUUUGCGCAUUAAGCCAGAAUAAAAAGGUGUGAGAUGGGCAGUCGUCCAUUAACAAAAAUGCCCUAUAACUGGCGCUACAGGCGCCAGAUAGGGUUUGCCUUCGCCCCCUUAUUUCGAAAAAGGAAAAGCUAUAAGGCCCUUCAAGGACGUACAUCCUCACUGUGCAUUUUUUUUCCCAAAAGGAAACUCACUGUUCUUUUUUUUUUCAGAAAAGAAUACACGGUACAGCAGCUACAUACGCCAACGCAAGCACUAGCUAGCUCAAAUGGAUCGCGCAUGACGGCCUACCAUUUUUUUUUACGACGAUGAUGUACCGUUUUGACUUUAGAAACGAUGGAUCAGAUUAAUAACCGCUCGAUCGACGCGGACCAUCUAUGUAUGCUUCUUCUUCUUUUUUCGAACAGAUAUGCUUCAUGAUUUGUACGUACAUCUGUUUCGUCCUUGCAUGGCAAACACAAACAUGGUUAUCCUAAGUACCUAACCAUGCAUGCGUCGUCGAACGUCUCACCCGUCCGUAUGAGCCCAUACGCGCAUGCAUGCCAGCAGGCCGCUUGUGGACAGUGAAAUACGGUAAUGAACUGCGUGUUUUAUCGUCCAUUUGCUUGGGAAAACCUGCAGGAAAUCUGGUAGUUAUUGGGGGUUGACCUACUCACGGUGAGCUCAUCAGAUAAGGAGCAGUUGCCACAGAGUGCCUAUUUUGAGGACGUGUCGGUGCUCCGUUUGCCAAUGGCACACAUUGCUGCAAAUGCUUGCAUUUCAACAUGGUUCUUAUCUUUGUUGACAUAUAAAGUAUUAGUCUGCAUAUAAGAUUUGGUCAAAGUCAAGCUUCGUAAAAUUUGACUAACUUUAUAUUAAAAAAUAUAAACAUUGACAAUAUGAAAUCUAUAUUAUCAGAUGCAUCACAAAAUGUAUUUUCAUACUAUGUAGUUUUAAUAUUGUAGAUGUUCAUACUUCUUUAUAUAAAUUUGGUCAAACUUUGUGUAGUUUGACUUUGACCAAAUCUUAUAUACGGAAUAAAAAGAAACGGAGAGAGUAGUAUAUAAGUAAAAGAAUGGUCACUACCAUGUACUCCCUGCGUGACUUAUUAGUCUCUCCGUUUCUAAAUAUUUGUUUUUCUAGAGAUUUCAACAAGUGACUACAUACGGAGCAAAAUGGGUAAAUCUACAAUUUAAAAUAUGUCUAUAUACAUCCGCAUGUGAUAGUCAAUUUAAAAUCUCUAAAAAGACAAAUAUUUUAAAAAACUGAGAGAGGAUAAGAUAUGCAUGACCAAUCGUUGCGCCAUUCGUUCUCCAACUUACCAAAGCUCUUGAUAAUUCAUGUGUUUGUACCACAAUGAUGGAGCAGCCAUUUUUUUUUUUUUGAAACCAGAGUGACGCCAAAUGCAUCCGAAUAAAUAAAUAAACAAUCUAAGCCGCAAGACUAACUUUGCUUAUCUUUCAAUCAAGCAACCCAACCUGCUUUCGCAUAAAUCUCGGCCUGUCGUUUGGCCGGACGGACAAAACGCUGAGGUGGAUCAGCUCGUCGUACACGUACCAGUAUUAAAUUGCAUGUGGCCGCAGUCCGACAUGGGGGCACAUCGCUGUCCGAGGCCGGUCAUGGGCACUGUUGGGCGGGCCCCUCCCCACCGCCCCUAGCCGUGGCGCCACCUCACCCAUCGCUUCCCGGUCAUGGGCUCCAAUCAUCCCACUCCGGUCUCUGCGGCCAGCAACUCCGUGGCUCCAGUUGUGGCUGCAUGGGUAACACAUGGCACGGUGGUGCUGGGUCGAACUGGCGUGCGUGAUGGCGACAACACACGGCACGGCCGCCGAAAGUGAGCAGCUACCUGGCCGGCGCGGUGCCACGGGAGAUCACGGCGGUGGGUAUGCAGACGGGGCCCGGGGUGACAGCCGGCCAUGUCGACUACUAUUUCUUCUGGGUGAUAUGGCACCCAUCAGCCCGGCGGACCAUCCUACUGGGCACUCGCCGGCGCAUGUUGGAUGCCCGGUGUGGACUCUCUCUCCGGUCGACGUCGAAAGCUCCUUGCCAGGUCAUCUGAUCAUCUGAAUGGCCGGUUUAAAGCGACGAUAACGACGGGGGCCAGAAUUUCUCGGAAAGAUUUGCUGGGGCCAAAACCAUACGGAAACAAUUUGUUUAGAGGUGGAAGGAAGGUUACAUGGGAAACCAUGGUUGUUUAGCCAUUUGCAAGAGCUCGGUUACCUUGUGCUUGUCAGUCUCCUGAUCCUGAUCCUGACCUUUCGGCGGCGGCCAGGGAAAAGAUCAACGCGAUUAAUUAGUGGUGUGCUACUGCAUAUGAGUGUAAUCUCGCUGUCUUGCUGAUGAGUUCAGAUCACUUUGCUUUUGCAAAUUACCUUGUUUUGUAGGAUGAGGUAGAUCCAUGGACGACAACUACCCCUGCGGCGCGGUGGUAAUCGGCUUACGUAUCAUCUGUGCCACCUUUUGGUAAAGGUGGUAGAGGCCAGAGCAAGUAGACGAACCACAAAGGUGAUAUAUCGCUCUCGACCGAGGCCAUUCAUUUGCUAUAGUCAUAAUUGUUGUUGAUGAACUCUGAAGCAUGACACAUGCAAGCUACUGCUACUACAGUAGCACUAGAACAGGGACGGCCGGACAGGAUUCUGGCGGUGAUUGCUUGGGGAUCUGGAGUUGCUCUAACAAGAAACUUUGAUCCAUUUGACACCGUCUUAUUAUAAACUCAAAAAAAAAUUAAAAUACUUAGAGCAUCUACAGCCGUGGCCUGCAAAUCCGGGCCAUCGAUCGCCCACGGACGCACAAGGGCGCGCCCGCGUGGCUCUAACCGAGUACUGCUCAAAUCAUGUUGUCCAUAUCCGUGUUUCUCAUAUCCGGUCUCUCAUAUUCAUACCAGCAUUCAACGUAGAUAAAAACAACGUAGAUCAUCACACAAACAUAGACCGUAGAAUUGGACAGAUAAAUGCACAUUCCGAUCAUCAAAAAAUUACCGACGGAUGUCCAAAACAUCACCAAAAUUCACAUAAAUGACGGACACGUUCGAACUAGAUUAGUAAAACCUUGAAAUUAAAGACGAAGAUGGCAGAGAUUCACCACUUCUUCGCCGGCCCUUUGCCCUUCCGGUAGCCGGCGCAACUGUAGGCAUUGGCGACUGCUGGCGGAUCGUCCGAGUUGUCGGAUGAGGAGUUGUGGUCCUUGUCAUCGUCGGAGGUGUCGGAGAGGAUGAUGAACCCAUUUGAGGAGCCGCGCGUCCUUGUCGGGCUUCGCCUGCAUCCCAGGCAACAGCGCCCGGACUGCUCCGCCUUCCUUCUCUCCCUUUCCCGCAUCUGAUUCCGACAUGCGCGUUCGUGCCAGCGGGGCGGGCACAAGCACCGACCGCUGCCCACGUGGGGGAGCAGCAGCUGGCGGGGGCAGGGGACGACGUAGGGGAGGCACGGAUUGCGCAGGUCACCUGUUGGAGCUGCGCACAGGCCAGAAGGGGCCAGCGCCGACAUGUGAGCUGCGCUGACGGGCAUGUUGCGUCUGCAGCGAGGCUGCAGAUCCAGAGCUGCCCCUAGUCUCCACCUUGGACCGCUCCAAGGCGAUGCGGCGGGCAAACUCACAGUCUGGAUUCAGCUCGAAGUCAGAGCAGCUGCCGAAGCUCGACAUUGCGCCGGAUUCGAUCGGAAUCGGCACGGGGAGAGAAGAGGACAGAGCGCGAGAGGAAAUUUGCGGUUUGCCACCAGAGACGCCCUUAGAAAAUUAUUAACACUACUUACGAAUAUGCAUGUACUCCCUCCGUCCGGAAAUAUUUGUCAUCAAAAUGGAUAAAAAAGGAUGUAUCUAGAACUAAAAUACACCUCCUUUUAUUCAUCUUGAUGACAAGUAUUUUCGGACGAAGGGAGUAGCAAACAUAUAGACCAUAAUAAGAUACAGACUCGCAUCACAUCAUAUCUAAAAAUACGAAAACUCAUACCUACUGCCGAAAAAGAAAGUCUAUACAUGUUCCCUCAAAAGAAAAGGUCUAUACAUCUAAACUAGCAUAGGCCGGGUGGGCACGUACCCUGAGAUGGAGAGCUAACCUAAGGGCAUCUCCAACAGUUGUAAUGCUCCUGUUUGGUUUCAAAUAAGUCACCAAAUUAUAAGUCGAAAAGUGUAAAAAGUGACUUAUUUUGCCAAACGGACUCAAUUUAUAAGUCACCUUAACUUAUAAGUCAUAAGUUGCUCCACCCCAACUUAAAACUUAUAAGUCACUCCUUUUGCAUGGGUCCCAUCACCUUUACAUAAAAAAACAAGGUAGAAAGGUAUGCUCAGGUGACUUAGGGCAUCUCCAGCCGUUCGGCCCCCCAGGGCGCCUAAAUAGAGCGGCCUGGGGCGUGCCGGCGCUAGUUCGGCCCCUGGGAGCGACCUAACUCCCAGUCACGCCCCCAAGCGCCGGUCCCAGGAUGCGGGAAAUUUAAAACUUGGUCGUACCUGCCCUCAAAAGACGCCACAAAUCUGGCGAUCGGACGUAGUCUGGUGUUACAAAAAACAGAGCGUCGCACGCCGCAAGUUCGUGUGCAUGAUUCAUUCGGCGGGGUCGGCUCCAGGCGUUGGCGGAGUCGGCGUGCUCGGGCUCGGCGGUGUCGGAGCUGCUUCGGUGUUGGGCUGUGUCGGUGCGGCUUCGGCACUGCUGGGCGGCGACGUAGAUGCGUCGUUCGGGCUUGGCGUCCGUGUGGUCGUGGGCGCGGGAGCUUGCGCUGUCGGCGUCGUCGGCGUUGCCGUCCGCAUAUGAUUCAGGAUGAGGCCGCGCUCCGCCAUGUACCACGCCCUGAGCUCCUCGUCGUCGCUCUGGAGCAUGUCUGCCCCGCCCAUCAGAAAAGCCAUGUCGGUGUUCCUCUUCUUCGCGACGACGUUCGUCCGGAGCAGGUCGAGCUUGAUGGCGCUGUUCUUCAUUAGCGACGACCACCGCGCCUCGGUCUUCUCUUCACGUAGGACGGCCCGGGCCUGGGCGUCAGCGAGGCAAUGCUCGAUGGACUCCUGUACUCGCGCGGUUGCCGCGUCGGCGUUUUUCCCCUUCUUUGCCAAUUUGUGGCCGUCCGGCCGCCCCUCACUCGCGCCCGGAGUCGUCGCGUCCGGCUUGUAUGUCUCCUUGGCCUUGUCGAGGGCACGUCGGACUUCCGCCCACUUCUCGCACUUGUCAAUGCGCUUGUAGACGUGGAGGUGCUUGAAGUCGGCGUCUUGGUUGUCUCCCCGAUACAUGGCGAACAUACGCAGCAGCUGCGCGGAGGAACAAACAGUUGGCGGGCGGCGGGCGUAGCCGACGAAGAUAUGCGGGCGAACGGUGUGCGUACCUGAUCCUCAACGCUGGCGCCGCUCUCCGGGCGAGCCGCGACCUCCUCGACGAUUCCAUGCCAUUUGUUGCACGCCAACUAGAUACGCCCCCAAUGGUUCGCCAUCGCCAUGGAGCCGCGCUGCAUGUAGACGCCUUUGAAGUACGGGUCGACGAGCUUCCGCUCGUCGAACUCGGCCUUGAUGCGGUCCCAGUACGUCUCCAAGCUCUGGUUCGCGCCGGUGGUCGGGUCGAGGCAGACGAUUUUUCAUGCUUCGGCGAGGCAUUCCACCUCCUUGGACGUCCACUUGAUGCGCGGUUCGCCUGACCUAGCCGCCCGCUUCUUCUUCUUCUGGCGCCCCUUCAUCGGAACAGGAGCCGGCUCCUCCUCCUCCUCCUCCUCCUCCUCGUCCUCCUCCUCCCCGGGUUCCUGCGCUUCGUGCGCGUCCUCGCCAUAGACGUAGCCGAGCUCGGCCUCCAUGUCGCCAUUGAGAUCCACUACCUCGUCCUGGGUGGCGAACCCGGGAGACGCGGCGGUCGCGGUCGAUCCUGUCGCGAUGAUGUCGUCCAUGUCGGCUCCUGUGUCGUCGGCAUCGCCGAGGUGCGAGAAGGGCAGCGGACCACGUCGGAGAUGGGGCGUCGGUGUGGACGCGUAGGUGACGGGCGGCGAGUAGUUGUAUGGAGGGUACUGCACGCCAACGAAUGCGGGCGAGGGUGUGCGCGUCGCGGGGUGGCCAUGGGGGAAGGUCACGUUUGGGUUGAACCCCCUGUGCGCGUCGCCGUCGGCGUAGCCGGGCGACGACGAUCCCCAUGGAGAGCCGAUGCCUUGAUGUCCCCAGGGCGCGUACUGGGCGUGGCUGAUGGCGGGUGGAUUCAUCAUCCCCGCGUGGUCGACCAAUGAGGAAGACGCCGCCGCACGCGCCGCGUUGUCGCGGGCCUUCUUGGCAAUGGCCCUGUUCCGCCAGUCGGUGGUGACUGUGUCGCGUCGCUGGACUUCCACCCUCCACUCGGCGCUCGACAUGCCCGGUGGCUUCGAUAGCGGCGCCCUCGGCUUCCUCUGCUUCGGCUGGGCCACGGUGCCAGACGUGGUUGCCGCCGUGCGCGGCAUGGCAUACUUCUUCGGCGGCAUGGCGGCGACUGGAAGGCGAGCUGGAGGGGGUUUGGCGGGAGAAAGGGAGAGAAUGGCGGGAGGAAGGCGAGCGAGCGGGAGAGAUGCGAGGGAAAACGUCAAGAAACGGCGGGAAAAGGCCCUCGGGUCGCCGCCAGGGCGGGCCCACGCGCCUUUUUCGCUUGCGCCGGCUCCCCAAGCGCCCCUCAGGGCGCCGGGUUCGGCCUGGGUCCGCCGGCACCAGUUUUUGCCCGAGCCGGCGAAAAACGGGCUUCUGGGGGCGCGACUGGGCCGUUUUUCUGGCGCCGGCGCGGCAAAAUCUCCUGGGGAGGGCCUGUUGGGGGCGCGACUGGAGAUGCCCUUAUAAGUCAGGUGGUAACCAAACAGACGUGACUUAUAAGUCACUGAUUUUAAGCCACCUGACUUAUAAGUCAGGUGACUUAUUGGAACCAAACAGGCCCUAAGAUAGAUGUUGAUAAAUUUGCCAUCUAGGACAUAGUGAUGAUGUGGCAUGUAAUAAAUGCGGAGAGAGGGAGAGAGAGCAAGGUUGUAUGUAGAUUAACCAACAACGUUUACACAAGCUCCAAGGUGAAAUAGAGAGCAAGCACAUUUAUUUUCUUAUCAUCUAUUGGAUAACUUAGAUACACUCCAUUGGAAUAGUUGUAUGAUAGUUUGUUGGUUGAUGACAUGGACAUUUUAUCAAUAAAACUAACAUACAACCUAUUGAAGAUGCCCUAAAUAAAUUCCAAAAUCAAAAGCACAACUAUUCAAGAGCCCACGUUCAUUGGUUAACUGCAUUAUCUUGACGCCAACCCCGACAGCCGCCCCUGUUCGCGCCAUCAUAAUCUCGUACGAAGCAAACACUAAUCAAACCCGUUUUGAUCCAGAUAUCACAGAUCGGUCGAAUCUCUCUCCCCGAGAAUUACUAGAGCUAAAUCGGCGAGAGCAUAAUUUAAUCUGACUGGGACCGACGAUCCGAUGGAAAGGACGGCGCGGACCGUGCCGGAACGAUGAGAUGCGCACACCUCAAGGCUAGCUAGACCUACAACGCAAAAGAGAGCUCCACUUGCCCCUCGCCACUGCCACGAGGGAUCAGAUUUGGCCAGCACACGACACGCCUCAACGUACACUGGAAUUUAUGGGAAAAUGAACUCUAGAACCUCUCGCUGCCUUUGAUCGAAUGCAUAUGUGUGUGUGACACGAUCCGUCCCGAUCGCGCACCAUGUGGAGCGAGAUGAACUAGACGCCGGCCGUGCAUCGAGGCACUGUUGCAUGGUGCACACCCUGGUCUGUUCUUCGGACCCUUUUCCCUAGUGUCAUGACUCACGGGCCACCUUUAGUUGGAUGGCAUGACACGUCGUCCGGACGUGCUCAUUUGCAUAUACAGCUCCCGAGAUUCCCGAUCAUCAUGAGAUGGACUCGACUUGUUUAUUUUCUUUGGCGUCUGAAUUUCGUUUGUGUUGUCCCCGUUUUGGCCUCCGGAGGCCGCUAUAUAUAGCCCCUCCACCCCGACCCAUUCCUCCACACACACACACGCGAGCCUCACACUCUCUGAUCACAGUAGGACUAGCUUCAGCUAGCCUGCAGCGUCUGCCACUCCGGGCAUUUUCUUGCAUCAACCACGGCAAUGGCCACCGCUGAUGUACGUAUAGCUUGCCUCGAUCGUCGUCUAUUCUCUUUUCGUAUGCUCCGAUCGAUGAUCGUUUCGAUUGUUUCUUUACCCUUUGAUCUGUUUAUUAUAUGUGUGAUCUGACGAACGGCCGGGUGAUCAUGAUUGUUUCUUUACCUCGAGAUCGGUUUGUGUAUGUGUUAUACAUGUGCGUGCUGCUAAUGAACGAAACUGUGCGUCGUGCAGGUCCAGAACCCGACGGCCGCGCUGACGGAGGAGGCGCCCGCGGUGGAGACGCCCGUCGCCGCCGAGGAGGUUGCUAAGACAGAGGAGGUCCCCGCGCCGGUGGAGGCCGAAGUCGAGGCGCCUGCCCCCGUCGAGGUUGAGGCGACCAAGGAGGACGCACCGGCCGCCGCCGAGACGAAGGAGACCAAGGAGCCCGAGCCAGCAGCUGCUGCCGAGCCGGAGGCCGAGGCGCCGAAAGAGCCAGCCGUGGUCGAGACAGAGACCAAGGAGGCGGUGGCAGAGGCCGAGCCGGCGGUGGCAGAGGAGGUGAAGGAGGAGGCGGCGCCUGCUGCCGAGCCGGAGGUGGCGGCCGUCGCCGAGGAAGCACCUGCUGCUGCGGAGGAGGAGCCGGCCGCCGCGGUGGCCAGCGUCAGCGUGUGAGGCGCGCGGUGGAGGGCAACUGGCUGGGUCAGCGUCCACGACGGCGGCCGUGUGCUCCUACGUGGCAACGGCGUGAUGCUGAGUCAGCCAGUGGAGUGGACUGGAGUGCUACUUUUUACUACGAGUACUAGGUGUGGAGUGGAGUGGAGUGCUAUGCGCGGGGUCGCGUGACGUGGCCUAAAUAAAAGUGUUGUCGGUCAGCAUCGAGCGAGCGACGCAGUGCCACUCUAGAUAAUGUAUGCUUUUUAUUUUGUCGACAAGACAUGAUUCAUUAUUUCUACGGACAUCUGUUUUCUCUUUGCAUGGCAAACAUAAACCUUGUUUAUCUUAAUUUAGAUUUCUAUAACCGUGCGCCGUUGGUAUGAGCUACACACGCAUGCAUGCCCGGUCAGCAUGCAUAUAGUAGCCGCAUUUGUUAGAAAUAAUGGCUCAACCUGUGAAUAAUUUCUGAAAUCACAAAUUGGCCCAUGUGUAAAUUGGCAAGUGGUGGUUCUAAUUCUAAAGUUUAUUAAAACAUCGAAAGUUGAAAAGAUGUGAUAACUCGUUAUAUAGUGGACUCUCUCCAUCACAUUAAGUCAUGUGGCAUGGAGAGAAAGAGAGAACCCCACGCGCACGCUCGCAUCGUCGCCUCACCAGGCUCGGGUUGGGCUCGGACUGGGGUGGCACAGGCAUGCGACAUGCGUGUGAAUUGUCCGCCGCACGUUUACCUUGCCGGCUCAACCCAGGGCCGGGGCGGCGCGGGCGUGUGACAUGCGCAUGAAUGGUUCGGCGAAAUCCUCCAUGCAGCAGGUCUCCGAACCCUUCGUCCUUACGAACCCGCAUUGGUAGAGGACGAAUUAGGUUUUUGUAAAGUGCUUCACAUGACUGCUCAAUCUCGCCAUCGCUGGUUGUCUUCGACCAAGGUAAGGCGCUACCGCGCGGCAUCUUACUAACUCUGCUUCGACCGGUCUUCACCAAGGUCAUCGUCCAUAACAUCGCCGCCCCUGCAAUAGCCACGGCUACGUCAUCGGUGAACGAUCAGUACGAGCACCAUGAUAUGAUCAUGUCUCUAGUUAUGUAAUUUUAGUAAUGAAUUAUUUUCUGAAAUUAAUCACAAAAUUGUCUAAUUUUCCAACAGCCUUCUGUAUGGCCAAUCAAUGCAUCAUUUUCUUUUUAACUUACCAAAGCUCAGUUCACUCAUUUGCUUGACAAUGAUGGAGCAGACAAAAGAAAUAUAUAUUUUUACUUUAUUUCGAAACUGAAGUUAGCAGAUGGCAAAUGCAGCCAAAGAAAUACCAAAGGCACGUACGAGCUGGAGUUUUUUAAUCUUACAUGUUGAAAAAGAAAACUUAUCGUUCAAUCAGGCAGCCUGCUUUGCACAAAAUUUCGGCUUGUCGUACCCGACGAUAGACAGCCCGCUGAGGUGGAUCACAGGUGGCCGCAGGCCGGCGCUGGAGGCACAUCACACGUCGAUCAUUCACAGGUGGAAAUGGAACCCAGUGCACACCGCUGGGCACUGUGCGGCGGGCCCCGCUCCACCGUCCCUAGCCGUGGAGCCACCUCAGCAUGGCUUCCGGGUCAUGGGCUCCAAUCAUCCCGUUGCCGCUCACUGCGCCCGACGAUUCCGUGGCCCGAAAUGUGGUGGCUCUACGGCUAUCACCUUCAGCUUCACAAAGGAUCAGACCCAUCUCGAUCGCCAGCACGCAAGUUUUGGGCGGUGCGCCUCGAUCGAACUGGCGUACGCGAUGGCGACCACACAUGCCACGGCCGCCGAAAGUGAGCAGCUACCUGGCCGGCUGGCCGUGCGGUGCCACGGGAGAUCACGGCGGUGGGUAUGUAGGCGGGGCCCGGGGUGACAGACUACUAUGGGCCAGUUCUUUUCGGCGAUUCUUUCAGAAUUGCCCCCCUCUGCAGCUUCUUCUAGAAUCGAAACUUCAUUUUUUUUACAAUCGAACUGGCCUUAUAUCUUCUAGUGCUAAUUAGCUAGGGUUGUAAAAAACAUAUGGAAUGGUGAUUCUGGGAGAAGCUGGGGAGGGAGGCGAUUCUGGUAGAAUCGGCCAAAAGAACUGGCCCUAUAUCUUCUGGGUGAUAUGUCACCAAUCAGCCCAGCGGACCAUCCUACUGGACACUCGCCGGCGCAUGUUGGAUGCCCGGUGUGGACUCUCCCUCCGGUCGACGUCGAAAGCUCCUUGCUCACCGCUUUCCAUGUCAUCAGAAGAUCUGAACGAAAUGGCCGGUUUAAAGCAGUGACAACGACGGCGGCGAGAAUUUCUCGAAAAGAUAGCUGCCCAACCCCAUCAUCUUCCUCCUCCGCUGGGGCCAAAACCAUCUGGAAACAAAUAGUUUAGACGAGGAAGGAAGAUUACAUAGGAAACCUCAUUUGUAAGAGCUCAGCUACCUCGUGCACAUCUGCCUUUCAGCGGCAGUGACUGACCGGCGAGGAAAACGAUCAGGUGGCGAGGCGCCACCAGCGCGAUUAAUUAGUGGCGUGCUACUGCGUGAUGGGGGAUGGAGUUGAUCGAUCAUCGAUGGACAACCACCCCUGCGGCGCGGUAGUAAUCGGCUUGCAUAUAUCUACGCUAGCUUUUGGGCAAAGGUGGCGGACGCCGGAGCAAGUAGACGAGCCACAAAGCCAAAGGUGACGGGGGACAACCGUUCAUUUGCUGUCAUAAUUGUUGCCGAUCAACUCUGAAGCAUGACACAUGCAAGCUACUACUCCCUUCGUUCCUAAAUAUAAGUCUUUUUAAACAUUUCAAAUGAAACACAACAUACGUAUGUAUGUAAACAUAUUUUAGAGUGUAGAUUCAUUCAUUUUGUUUCGUAUGUAGUCAUUUGGUGGAAUCUCUAGAAAGACUUAUAUUUAGGAACGGAGGGAGUACUACAGUAGCACUAUAGCAGGGACAUGAUUCCAGCGGUGAUUGCUUGGGGAUUUGGAUGUUGCCCUCACAAGAAACGUUGAUCCAUUUGGCACAAUUUGAUAGUACAUAAGAAAACUUUAACCCAUUCUUUUUCUAGAAAGGAAAAGUAGUGUUCGAAUAGAAGAGGGUGUGCCUUAAGCAAAUACUCCAUACACCGUUUAACUAGGACCUUAAGUAGAUCAUAUCAUACGUCAGUCGACCAAAACCACACAUACACUGCUGGCGAAGAAAGUCUAUAUAGUAUCUAGCGUAGCAAAGGCCGGGUGGCCACGUACCCUGAGAUGGAGAGCUAACCUAAAUUCCAAAACCAAAUCGAGACUAUUCAGGCGCGCACAUUGAUUGGUUGCAAGUGCAUUGUCUUGACGCCAACCCCGACAGCCGCCCCUGUUCAGCUAUCAUAAUCUCGUACGAAAACAGACGCUAAUCAAAUACGCCUCGUACGUUUUGAUCCAAAUCACAGAUCGAAUCGCCCUCCCUCCCUCCCUCAGAAUUACAGCUGAAUCGAUGAGAGCAUAUUUUAAUCGGCUGGGGAUCCAUGAUCCGAUGAAAAGGACGGCGCAGAACGUGCAAGAAACGACGAGAUGUGUUGUGUACACCUGAAAGGUGCGCUUGCCUGUUGCCACUGCCACCAGGGAUCAGAUUUGGCCAUCGCCCAUCACACUACACACACAUCAAUGGGACAGGGUUGAUCAUACACGAAAACUUAUGGGAAAUGGAAAAUAAAUUCAAGAAUUUCGCUGCUUUUCUAGAGAGAGAGAGAGAGUGUGUGUNNNNNNNNNNNNNNNNNNNNNNNNNNNNNNNNNNNNNNNNNNNNNNNNNNNNNNNNNNNNNNNNNNNNNNNNNNNNNNNNNNNNNNNNNNNNNNNNNNNNNNNNNNNNNNNNNNNNNNNNNNNNNNNNNNNNNNNNNNNNNNNNNNNNNNNNNNNNNNNNNNNNNNNNNNNNNNNNNNNNNNNNNNNNNNNNNNNNNNNNNNNNNNNNNNNNNNNNNNNNNNNNNNNNNNNNNNNNNNNNNNNNNNNNNNNNNNNNNNNNNNNNNNNNNNNNNNNNNNNNNNNNNNNNNNNNNNNNNNNNNNNNNNNNNNNNNNNNNNNNNNNNNNNNNNNNNNNNNNNNNNNNNNNNNNNNNNNNNNNNNNNNNNNNNNNNNNNNNGGGCCACCUUUAGUUGGAUGGCAUGACACGUCGUCCGGACGUGCUCAUUUGCAUAUACAGCUCCCGAGAUUCCCGAUCAUCAUGAGAUGGACUCGACUUGUUUAUUUUCUUUGGCGUCUGAAUUUCGUUUGUGUUGUCCCCGUUUUGGCCUCCGGAGGCCGCUAUAUAUAGCCCCUCCACCCCGACCCAUUGCUCCACACAUACACACGCGAGCCUCACACUCUCUGAUCAGAGUAGCACUAGCUUCAGCUAGCCAGCCUCUGCCACUCCGGUCAUUUUCUUGCAUCCACGACGGCAAUGGCCACCGCUGAUGUACGUAGCUUGCCUCGAUCGUCGUCUAUUCUCUUUUCGUAUGCUCCGAUCGAUGAUCGUUUUGAUUGUUUCUUUACCCUUUGAUCUGUUUAUUAUAUGUGUGAUCUGACGAACGGCCGGGUGAUCAUAAUCAUGAUGGAGCUAGAUCGGUUUGUGUAUGUAUGUCUUGACAUGUGCGUGGUGGUAAUGAAAGUACGUGUGCAAACUUGCAGGUCCAGAACCCAUCGGCCGCGCUGACGGAGGAGGCGCCCGCGGUGGAGAAGCCGGUCGCCGCCGAGGAGGUCGCGAAGACGGAGGAAGCCCCCGCGCCGGUGGAGGCCGAAGUCGAGGCGCCUGCCCCCGUCGAGGUUGAGGAGACCAAGGAGGAGGCGCCGGCAGCAGUUGAGGCAGAGGAGACGAAGGAGCCCGAGCCAGCAGCUGCGGCCGAACCGGAGGCCGAGGCGCCCGCCGUGGUCGAGACAGAGACCAAGGAGGCCGUGGCUGAGGCAGAGCCGGCGGCGGCCGAGGAGGUGAAGGAAGAGGCGGCGCCUGCUGCCGAGGCCGAGCCGGCCGCUCCCGCUGCUGCUGAGGAAGCACCGGUGGAGGCAGCCGCGGCCGCGGUGGCCAGCGUCAGCGUGUGAGGCGCCAGCGCGCGCGGAGGAGGAGCUGGCUGGGUCAGCGUCGACGGCGGCGGCCGUGUGCUCCUACGUGGCACGGCGUGAUGCUGAGUCAGCCAGUGGAGUGGUGCUACUUUUUACUAGGUGUGGAGUGGGAGUGCUAUGCGCGGGGUCGCGUGACGUGGGCUAAAUAAAAGUGUUGUCGGGGCCAGUCGACGCCCAGUGUCGGGUCAGCAGCGAGCGAGCGAGCGACGCAGCGCCACUCGCCGGCACCCGUGUGCCUGCGUCUGCUCAGCUGGAGCUUUGUUGCGGUGUGUGUCACAGUGUCAGUUCCACCUAUGAUCGAUCGGUAUCCUAUCCGGUUUGUGUACGUCUCUGGAGGAUGAUCUCCAGCUAACUUACCACUUUACCGAUCCAUCUAGACGAAUAACGUAGGCGUAUAUAUAGAUCCGGCGAUCGCCGGCGCCGGUGGCUUCUUCCUUGGUUUAUUCAGAUUCAGACCCGCGCAGUUCCGGUCGGUAAGCAAACAGUGCUGCAUUUUUUUGAGCC
rnacentral:lncRNA from 1 species